AAAGUGCCAAGCAAGCCAAUCCAAGUUGCACCUUGCCUUCCAAGAAUAAUCCUUGCCUUCCAAGUUCCCACUUGCCUUCCAAGAAUAAAUCCUUGCCUUCCAAAUGUUCCCUUGCCUUCCAAGAAUAAAUUCUUGCCUUCCAAGAGCCCCAUGUUUCGAACUCACGACCUCUGCUCUGCCAGAUUUGACAGCGUCCGUCCUUUGCCAGUGGAGAAGUGCCCUGGGGGGCUCAUGAUUGACAAUCCUUUCACAUAUAAGAGGUGGGCAGCACACAAAGCAAUUUUCUAAUGGUAAGAGUCUUGCUACAAGUACACAAUUUUGACAUCAUGAUUGACAAUCCUCUCACAUACAAGAGGUGGGACCCACAAUUAAAAUAAUUGCGGGCCCCACGUUUGUGAUAGUGUUGUACACGUAUAGCGCUGUACCAAAGCAAUUUCCUAAUGGUAAGAGUCUUGCUACAAGUACAACAAUUUUGACAUCAUGGUUGACCGUCCUCACAUACAAGAGGUAGGCCCCAUGAUUAAAAUAAUUGCAUGUCCCACGUUUGUGACAAUGUUGUACACAUACAACACUGUACUCAAAGAAAUUUCCUAAUGGUAAGAGUCUUGCUACAAAUACAACAAUUUUAACAUUGUUACGUGUUCGCACACUUGGGCAACCCACCAGGGUCCACAGCCAGCUCAUGCCGUACCACGUGGCACUCAAUUCGAGGUUAUUUUCAUAGUCGAGGCCCACAAACCGAGGCCCAUUUAUCCUUGCCUCAUGAGGAAGUUCCGAAGCCCAUAUGUCAAGGCCCUUUGAAGAUGGACGAGACCCUGUUUGCUGAAGCUCCUUAGCCGAGGUGACAGCAUCCGAAGCACAGACACUUCUCCCAAGAGAUUUUCUGCACAAAGAUCUUACUUGAAUGAUUGAUAGGACAUUUGUCAUGAGUGUAAAUGUUAAGUCUUAUCACUAGUAGAGGCGGCUCUGCCAAUCAAUAAAUGUAUAACAGGCUAGGUGCGGCUGAUCAGCCUACAAUUUGCAUGUAAACUAGCCGGAUGAGGCCACGUGUACCCUGAACCAAAGGUCAUGAUCUAACUUGUGACACUAUAAAUACUCCCCCUUGUAAGCCAUACCAAGGCUAAUGCAAGAAACCAUACUUUGUUCAACUCUCUCUUUCUUAUUAUCUUGAAACACAAACGAGUCCAAACAUAUUUAGAUACACAUUUACAAAUAUCGAUUGGUAAUUAUUGUACAAUCAGUCUAUGAAUAUCCCGUCGAAUUUCGAACAUUCUCGUCCCGUGCCGUUGAGCUACUCGCACGCUCUUAAUCUGUCCGUUCUAGACCAUCCACGUGUCUUUGCGUGUUGGACUUUCGCUUACGUGUGCGCGGGUGGGUCCGGUAUCUGUUGGUAACAUUUAUUAGGGUCAACAGAUUGGCGCCGUCUGUGGAAAACUAUACCAUAACCACGAACAACCUUGUGGUGGAAGCUUGUUAAAGAGGAACAUUUGGGCAUCCCCAUUGAAAAAGGAUUUGUUCUUGAAAAAGAACAAGAGGAAGCCCCAUGACUUAGCAAAAAUCUGAAGGGUAAGACAUAAGGAAAAUGAGUUCGAACGAAGAUACACCCCUAAGGAGGGUAAGAUAAAAUGCUAAUGUGCCCCCUCAAACAGUAGCCCCAGCAGCUCAGCAUAGACCCCAUCAUAACCACUGAAGAGGUGGAAUGCGUGUGACGGCCCGGCUGUCAAGAGAAAUGGCUACAAUGGCAACCAAUAUGAGGGACAUUGCUAGCCAAAACAUGGCUAUAAGGGAACUUAUGGGCCAAAUGCAGGGUCAGGGAGGUUUCCCUAUUCCUCCAUACGCCCCUCAAGGGCAAUACCAGCAAGAAGAUGAAGUUCAAAGCCAUAGGGCUACUUUGCUGGACUAUAGCCGAGGUGUAAGCCCAUUUGAAAGGGAAGUAGAAGUUGAUAUUUCCUCCAACUAUGCUUUUGAUUCCCACCUUCGUAUGAGCAAGAGCAAAGACGUAGGAGGUCAGGCAGUGUAUUUAACAGAAUUAGCCUCGCUGAACCGAAGCUUAGACAACAACAGCAUCAUGAGCCUUCGACAAGGCCCCCUCCUCCACCUCCAAUGCCUCAACAGCCAGAGGAAAGGCAUGAAAAUGCCCCCCGUGUUGCUCCACCUAGAAAUAGGCACCAAAGAAGGGAGGAAGAGGCUAGGAAUUGUCCCGGAACCUCUCACCAACAACCGAGGUAUGAGGCUAAAGAAAAUGAUUCCAAUGAGCAGUAGAGGUCCUGUGACUUGGAUGAUGAUGAUGAUGAAAACUUGUCAUUCUCAAGGGAACUAAGGAGCGCCCGGGUCCCAAACCACUAUGUUAUGCCAAAAAUACCAAAGUAUGAAGAAAGAGGCGACCCAAAAAAGCACCUGAAUACUUACAAAACUCACAUGAGCCUAAGGGAUGCCACCCCAGCUGUGAAAUGCAAAGCUUUCCACUUAACACUUAGCGGAGCAGCUGAAAUUUGGUACAGUAUGUUACCACCUGGGAACAUAAGAAAUUGGCUCGAAUUCAAGACGACCUUCUUGAAGAGGUUUGCUGUGAGCAAAGACCAACGUCUCCAAGACAUGAGACAGGCACAUGGGGAGUCCCUAAAGAGCUUCCUAUCACAUUUCACCGAUGAGAUGACAUAUUGUAUGCAAGUCACCGACCGUGAGGCAUUAUCUGCAUUGAGAGGAGGUCUGAACAUGAACACCCUGUUCUGGAGGGACGUGCAAAAUCAAGAUCCCACCAUCUAUGAUGCCCUACUCGAGAUGAUGAGACAAGAAAUCAUCAAUGAAGAAUUGAUUGAGCAUAGGAACAGGGCGAAUAGAGGCCUCCCACCUCCUCAAAGGCAGCGUGUUAGAAAACUGACCUCCCACUUGAUGGACUACCAGAUGAACCAAGCUGGUAAUGAGAGUUCUGGGCAAGCACUGGCCACUACCACUCUUAACGCCGUCCUUACAUUGGCAUAUAAGGAUAUCAAUCCAGUCGCUAACACCCAGCAGAUGGGAACUCCGCAAAGAUCCCGUAGGGAAAGAGGCCGAGGUUCAAGGCCUAGAAAUAGGUCACAUCAAAACUCACCUGGAUACUGUGUAUACCACCGGUCCUAUGGACACGACACAGCAGAUUUUCGAGACUAUGCUCACUGCUUCCGACAAAAACCCCCUAGGGAUAGAAACGAUUCGCCCUAGGCGAAUAGGCCCCCGUCAAGGUACGAUAACCGACAUGGGCGUGAAGAGGUCACUCCACGUCAAAGGGAUGUCUCUCCAUGACGAAGGGAGUGUGAUGCAGAAAGGCCCAGGGAAAGGCGCAGACAUCGAAGAAAUCGCCAAACUCAGGAUGAGGCCCUUAUCCACGAGGUGGAUACCAUUUUUGGAGGCCCUUAUAUAGGCGGUAAAACGCAAAACGCCAGAAGGAAUUAUGCCCGUGAGGCCAAGCACCCCCGGCUUACCAGCUAUAUUCUGGGCCACAACUCCCGGAGAGAUCAAGUUCCACGUAUUGCCUUCACCCAGGAGGACAUUGAAGGGGUUCACUACCCCAUUGCGAUGCACUUGUGGUAAGAGCUGUCAUAGCCCGGAAUGGGCUCAAACGAAUGUUAGGUGACAAUGGUAGCUCCGUUAACAUUCUAUUCGGAUCCACCUUUGACAAGAUGAUAUUGGACCAUGAGUUAACAUCCACCACCACUCCUUUGUACGGAUUUACCGGAGAUAGCAUUACCCCGAGAGGAAAAAUCACACUUGCAGUAAAGAUGGGGGAGUCUCCCCAAACCACAAUGAACUUCAUGGAAUUCCUUGUUGUCGACAGUCGAUCGGCCUACCACGGAGUAUUGGGUAGACCCGCCCUAAAAGAAUUGGGAGCCGUCACCUCCAUCCACUACCUGUGCAUGAAGUUCCCGACUGAAAAUGGAAUGGCAACGGUGAGAGGCGACCAAAGAGGCUCAAGAGAAUGUUAUUUAAGCUCCAUUAGAAAGGUAGAGCCCCGGGACGUCCACAUGAUUAUUGUCGAUGUAAUCAUGGCUGAUGCCCCAGGUGAUGCUCCCGCCGAACCGGAAAAUGUCGAAAUGAUCGACGCACCACCCAAUCCGAAAGUAGUGGUCAUCGAUGAAAUUGACCCCCACAUAAUUGAACACGAACCUCAAGCAUCCCCAGUUGAGGAACUUGAGAGCUUCUCCGUAGACCCCCGAGACCCAUCCAAAUUGUUAAAGGUGGGCAAGGGCUUGUCCAGCACUUCGAAAGAAAAACUUAAGGAUUUCCUAAGUAGGAACCUCAAUAUCUUUACUUGGAGGCAUGAGGAUAUGGUAGGCAUAGACCCCAAGGUCAGAUGCCACCACCUGAAGAUUGAUCCUAAGGUUGCCCCGCAUAGAUAAAAAAGGAGAGCCCUCAAUCCUGAAAGGUACGAGGCCCUGAAGGAAGAAGUUCAGAAGCUCAUCCAGAAUGGCUUCAUCAGGGAGGCCACCUAUCCGAUGUAGGUCUCCAAUCCAGUAUUAGUGAAGAAACACAACGGCAACUGGAGGGUGUGCAUCGAUUUCACUAACCUCAACAGGGCUUGCUCGAAGGACAGCUUUCCACUUCCAAGGAUCGACCAACUGGUAGACUCCACGACUGGGCACGAGUUAUUGAGCUUCAUAGACGCAUACUCCGGCUACAAUCAAAUCCCCAUGCACCCAGCUGAUGAGGAACACACAUCUUUCAUCACAAACCGAGCCCUUUACUGCUACAAGAUGAUGCCCUUUGGGUUGAAAAACACCGGAGCAUCAUAUCAAAGGCUCGUCAACAAAAUGUUUGUGGACCUCAUCUUCAAGACAAUGGAGGUCUAUGUAGAUGACAUGCUGGUAAAGAGUUUGGAAGCUGGGGACCACAUAACGCACCUCAAUAGCACCUUCCAAAUUUUGAGAAGAUAUAGGAUGAGGCUCAACCCCCUCAAAUGCGCCUUUGGAGUGGCCUCCGGUAAAUUCUUUGGGUACAUGGUCAACCAACGUGGUAUUGAAGCCAACCCUGAGAAGAUUGAGACCAUAUACAAGAUGAGGUGGGGAAGCCAAAGGAGGUGCAAAACUUGACUGGACGAGUGGCCGCGCUUAGCUGCUUCGUCUCCAAAGCUACGGAUAAAUGCCUCUCAUUUUUCAAAGUGCUAAAAGUUGAGAAGAAGUUCCAGUGGAAUGAGAAAUGUGAAGAGGCCUGAAAGGGCACCUAGGGCAGGCCCCCUUCCUCUCCGAACCGAAGCCUGAUGAAAUCCUACAGUUGUAUCUAGCCGUCUCCAAUGAGGCCAUUAAUGCGAUUCUAACCUGAGAAGAGGGAACCACCCAACUCCCCAUUUACUAUACAAGUAAAGCAUUACUAUCGCCGGAAACAUGCUACCCCGAUAUGGAGAAGCUCGCUUUGGCCUUGAUCACGGCCUCCAGGAAGUUGAGACCCUACUUCCAAGCCCACACCAUCCACGUGUUGACAAAUUUUCCCCUAAGGCAGGUAUUCCAAAAGCCGGAUGUCUCAGGGAGAUUAUUGAAAUGGGCGAUGGAGCUAAGUGAGUUUGACCUUGUGUUCAAGGCUAGGGCAGCCAUCAAGGGCCAAGCUUUAGCUAACUUUGUGGCAGAAUUCGCCAACUUACCCGAGGUGGAUGAAAUCAUGGAACAAGCCGAGCCCCUAACGUGGAACCUAUUCGUUGAUGGAUCGGCUGGGGACGUCGGCUCAGGAGUUGGAGUGGUCUUCAUCAGUUCGGAAGGUCACAAGCUGAACUCGACAGUGAGGUUCGGGUUUAAGGCUACCAACAAAGUAGCAGAAUACGAGGCACUUCUCGUAGGCCUCAGGUUAGCCAAAGAAAUGCAAGUGAAGAUGCUACUCAUUAGUAGUGACUCUCAGUUGGUCGUUAGCCAGGUUAACGGUAACUUCUCAGCCAGGGACAAAACAAUGGUCUCCUACUUGAAAAUAGUGAUGAACCUCAUCCCGUCCUUUGAAAAGUUUGAGUUGAUCCAAUCUCGCACAUCGAAAAUGCACAUGCGGAUGCACUCUCCAAACUUGCAAGUAGCAAGGAUUUCGAACUACUCACGGUAGUCCCUAUAGAGCACCUCCUCAUGCCAUCAAUCGAGACCCCCAAUGUAAUAUGGGUCACUGGGAUUCCUACCUGGGUGCAGCCCAUCAUGGCAUACCUCAAGGACCAGGUACUUCCCACUGACAAGUAUAAAGCCUACAAGCUAAGGAGGAGGUCAGGCCAUUUCCUCUUCAUUGAUGUGUACUUUAGAAGAGGAGCUUCUCCUCUCCAUUCUUACGAUGCGUCGGAGGAGAAGAGACUACCUACAUCUUAAGAAAAGUCCAUGAGGGUAUGUGCAACAGCCACUUUGGAGGUCUAUCUUUGGCACAAAAGAUACUGAAAUAGGGGUACUACUGGCCUACCCUAAAAAGGGACGUCCCUGAAUUUGUACAAAAAUGUGACAAAUGCCAACGAUUGUCUCUUGUCCAAAGACAAUCAUCGCAAGAUUUGGCCACGGUCUCCAGCCCUUGGCCUUUCUCGAAGUGGGGUAUGGACCUCAUAGGUCCUCUACCAAAAGGCAAAGAAGGUGCGAGCUUCACAAUUGUGGCCAUUGAUUACUUCACGAAGUAGGUUGAAGCUGAAUCGCUGGCAAAAAUUAUAGAAGCCAACACUUCCAAGUUCUUGUGGAAGAAUAUCAUAUGCCGGUUCGGGAUUCCCUACUUGAUCUCUCAGACAAUGGUAGACAGCUUGACAACAAGAAGGUCAGAAGUUUGUGUGAAGAACUUGGCAUCAAGAAGCACUUCUCCACACCUCACCACCCAUAAGCAAAUGGCCAGGUUGAGGCCGUGAACAAGACAAUCAAGCACGUCCUGAAAAUGAAGCUCGAUGUGUCAAAAGGGGCCUGGGUGGAUUAGCUGCUACAGGUUCUUUGGGCAAUUCGAACCACUGCGAGAACCCCAACAGGGGAAACACCUUUCCUCAUGGCAUAUGGAGCUGAAGCGAUGAGCUCCGUCAAGGUCGGACUUCCAUCUCCAUGACGUCUGCAUUUCAGUGAGAUAACAAACGACGAGCUUCGCAGGUGUGACCUCGACUUCAUUGAAGAAAGGAGAGAUGACGCCCAGCUGGCACAUAUCAAAGAAAGAUGGCGAAGUACUUUAACUCAAAGGUAAAGAAGAGGUCAUUUCGAAUCAACGACUUAGUCCUUAGGAGAGUUUUCCUCUCCUCAAAGGAACCUGGCACCGGUUCCCUGGGCCCGAACUGGGAAGGUCCAUGUAAAAUCAGAAAGGAGAUCCGACCCGGGACCUACUGGAUUGAAGAUAUGAACGGCAAGGCACAACCCCGUCAAUGGAAUAUUGAGCACCUUCGAAUCUAUUAUCAAUGAAUGUGCUACCUCGCUGGACGAUCUUUCCCAACUUAUGUAACUUCCAUGAUUCAAUAAAAUUAUGCAUAAUUGAAUUAAUCACCAUUGCGUCAUCACCUCGGAGGAGAGGCCAACGUCCCAUCUGUGGGCCACCUCGUCUGAACGCCACUGGGAGAAGCCUCAACAUGGCUGAACUAUCCACCAUGUUGGGAAGCGUCAUCACCUCGGGGGAGAGGCCAACGUCCCAUCUAUGGGCCACCUCGUCUGAACUCCGAGGCACAUGCACUUGCCUCCCUUUGACGAGGCUGAACACCACUGGGAAAAGUCUCAGCAUGACCGAACCAUCCACCAUGUUGGGAAGCGUCAUCACUUCGGAGGAGAGGCCAGCGUCCCAUCUAUGGGCCACCUCAUCUGAACUCCGAGGCGCAUGCACUUGCUUCCCUUUGGCGAGGCUAAACGCCAUUGGGAGAAGUCUCAGCGUGGCUAAACUAUCCACCAUGCUGGGAAGCGUCAUCACCUCGGAGGAGAGGCCAGCGUCCCAUCUAUGGGCCAUCUCGUCUGAACUCCGAGGUGCAUGCACUUGCCUCCCUUUGGCGAGGCUGAACACCACUAGAAGGAGCCUCAGCAUGGAUGAACCAUCUUCCAUGUUGGGAAGUGUCAUCACCUCGGAAUAGAGGCCAGCGUCCCAUCUUUGGGCCAUCUCGUUUGAACUCCGAGGCGUGUGCACUUAUUUAUGCGCAAGGCUCAACCACUACUAGCUUCACUCAACUACUUUUGAAUUAGACAGUAAUAUUCCCAAUUCGGCUGAAACACGGUCCAGUCAGGAUCCAUUCAAGUUACAAUUAUUAAGCUUAAGUACAAUUCAUUUGCUUAAGUCCAAUUGUUCAUGGUUCGUGAGGCUUGCGUACAAUUUACUUGUUCAAGUGAUUGGAGUUAGGAUAUCAAGUUAAAGUUAUUUAGUUCUUCAAUCAACAUUAAAUUCAAUUACUUUACGAGGCCAAUGUACUUUGGAGAAAAACAACAUUGCAUGAAAAAGGAUGUUAUAUUGAUUUACAAUCAAGAUUAUAACCAGAGGGCCCAAGGCCAGUACAUCAAAAAUAAUUGAAAAGAAAAUUAUCCUAAGCCUGCGAUGACGAUGGAGGUGCCUCAACAGUCGAGGCCUCCGCAGCUUGAGCAUCUGAACUUCCUUCUGCCUCCGCCACUUCAUCUCCAACUCCUUCAUCAGCUGGGGUUUGAGGCACUUCAUCCACAAAUUUCGACCUCAGCUGUGACAAGUUUUGGUUUGGGUAAAGCUCCUUAGCCCUCUCCGUCAUCUCAACAUAAGCAUAAUUUCUCCAGUAAGUGCUGAAACUCUUGUACUCCUCGGUAUUGUGGAAGUUGGCGAUCUAGUCUUUCACCGACUCUUUCCUUGCCUCCUGAGCCUCCUCCCUUGCCUUAGUCGCAUCAUCAACGUACCACUUAAUCUGGCCCUCCAAGAACUUGUAUGCAUCUUGGGCCCCUGCCAGCUCCAUGUUUGCCUUCUCCAAGGCUUCAGCAGUCACCUUCUGGUGGUCAUUGGAAAUCUCCACUUUCUUAGUCAAGGAGGCUACCUCGCACUGGGACUUGUAUACCUCCUUCUUCAGUGCCUUGAUUUGAGCCAAGGAAGACUCCAGCUUGGCCGUAUCUUCAAGUUUUUGGGCCCUCGCUUCCUCCACCUCGGCUCUAGCCCCCUUCAGCUCCUCUGUAAGGGAGGCUAUCUUCUUCUGUAAGGGAGGCUAUCUUCUUCUCCGAGGACUGGAUCCUCGUUUAAAAGUCAGUAAGGUCCUCCCUACACUCCAGUGUGAGGCCAAAGGUCCUUACACUUUGGCUCACCAGGGCCCUUGUUAAGUCCGUGGAGUCACAUGAGGAGGCAUGCAACUGCCACCGAUCUGUCUAGAAUUUGUAGAAGCAUUCUGUAGCACUUCGGAUCUCAGGUGGCAGAGCUUCCACCAAUGCUGGAGCCAGAACCUCCUCCCUUCUGACAAGGAAGCUCAGAGACUUUCCUUGCACCCUCGUAGGCCUCUGUUUGGCGGCCUCCUCCUCCGCCGCCUCAGCUACCCUUCUCGCAACCUCCUCCUUUGCUUCCUCAUCCUCCACCAGUCGAACCAUUUCUAUUUUUACUGCUUUCGAAGCGGAUGCAAAGAGCUUUGGCUGAGUGACUUCUCUGCCUUCAUGGGACACAGAGGUCCCAAAUUUUCCUAACGAGCUGGUGACAUGCACCAACUUUCUCUUCGGCUCCUCGGGGACUUUCUCCUUCCCCCGAGGCUCCUUAGCCUUCUCCGGCCUCUGAGGUAUCCCCUCUUCUGGAGCCCUCAAACUGUCGUCUUUAGAGAGGCACUCGACCCUGUCCUGAACCUCUUUGGCACCCUUGGACCCCGGCUUCAGGGGCCUCACCUUCACAGUAGAUGUGGCCUUCAGUAUAGAGGCCAUAUUAGAGGCUGGGUACUCCCUCCUCUUGAACUUGUCUGCAGAACAUGUCAACGCAUCAGCAUCAAAAUGAAAAGCAAGAAAUACACUAAGUAUAGGAGCUUCUUACCCUUGGAGGCCAUCAGUUCGAAAUCAAGGAAGUAGCGACUUCGGUCGAUGAGGUGGUCGAAGUGGCGAAGCUUGAGAGACCUCUUGUAAAUGUCCCCUAUCACUUCGAACUCCUCCUUGCUCAGCUCGAACCGUGUACUACUAUCUGCAAACGAAGCCUCAACAGUUAGAGAAAAAAUAAAUUUGAACACAGAAUGCAAACCACUUAGGCUGGGAGACUCACGAGCUUCGUAGUACUGGGUCGGUACUGUGCAAGCCAAGGCUAUGUCUCCCUCCACCGCCUGCCACCUGCUCCUCACCCAGAACCACGAUUCCUUCCACCCCUUAAUGGAAGAAGGCAGCCCCACCACAAAUGGUGCAUGAGCCUCCUAAGAAGUCAAGUAAUACAACCCCCUGGACUCCUUACCUAUUACCCUAGGCUGGAAUAGGGUCAAGAAGACGUGGAGAGGCAUGUCCUCCCCAAGUGAAACUUCCUUCCAUAGGAAGUACGAGCCAACCAACUGACUCCACCCAUUUGGCAAAACUUGGGUCGGCGACAAUAUGAAGUUCCUCAACACCGCCCUGAAGAAGGGGUGCAGAGGAAGACGCAUACCUGCUUUAAACAGAUACUCGCUCAUCGCCACGCACCCAGGCCUCGGAUAGCAAGUUCUCUCAUGGGCCUCAGGUACUAACAUCUCCACAUAAUGAGGUACACAGUACCUCUCCCUUAUCUCUCCCAACCUCUUCUCUUUCAUAUUUGAAGGGACCCUAGACGUCCCCCACUCCACACUAUAAUCUAUUGCCUCCUCGAUUAUAGCAUACUGCUUAACCUCGGAGUCCCCCUGUAUCUAGACCCCCGAUCAAACGACGCGAUAGUGACCAACUCCCUACCCCAGGUGGACUCCAUUUCAGAAAACGACUAAGAACACAAUACAAGGGAUCAUCUGUAAAAAAUACCUGCGGGGUUACUACGCCGACGAAAUGCUGUCGAAAAAUCAGGGGACAAAGAGCUUCGACGCCGAAAAACUUUAGCUUUGGAAGAAAAAAUUGGAUUGCAAAGGGUAGAAAAUCUAAGAUAAUGAAGGUCUCUCGCCUUUUAUAAAGGGCCAGGACGAACCCCAACCGUCUGAUCAAAUCCAUCCAAUCUGAAUCCUUCAUUCUUAAUCAAAUCCGACGCAUAGAAUUCAAACGAUUUUUCAAACCUACGCCUCAGAUUAAAGCAUGUCCCCCACGCACCUCCUCCAACGCGUCUGCUUCUAGAAACUCCAGCUGUUCUCAUAAUUACGAUUUUAAUUCGACGGCAACAGGCGCCUUGGAAGUUGUAACGGUUUAACCAUUUUUCCUCGAAAAUAUGCGCAAAACAUCAAAUCAUUGGCACAACUGCCGUGAAACAAUUAUUGUCAAUGUGCCUCAGAAUUCAGAUAUCAAGCCUCGUAGGUUUGGUUUCUCAACCACCUUGGCUUCUUCAUCAAAAUUCAGUCAUCAAGCCUCACAGAUUCGGUUUUUCAACCACCUCGACUUCUUCAUCAAAAUUCAACCGUCAAGCCUCACGAGUUCGGUUUCUCAACCACCUCGACUUCCUCAUCAAAAUUCAGCCAUCAAGUCUCGCAGGUUCGGUUUCUCAACCACCUCCACUUCUUUAUCAAAAUUCAGCCAUCAAGCCUAGCAGGUUCGAUUUUCAACCACCUCGGCUUCAUCAUUCUCAUCACUUCUUAGACAACAGCAAAUCUCUAACUCCAGCCAUAAUAUAAAUAUCUAUACUUGGACUUGAGGGACUAUUGUUACGUGUUCGCACACUUGGGCAACCCACCGGGGUCCACAGCCAACUCAUGCCAAACCACGUGGCACUCAAUCUGAGGUUAUUUGCAUAGCCGAGGCCCAUUUAUCCUUGCCUCGUGAAGAAUUUCCGAAGCCCAUAUGCCGAGGCCCUUUAAAGGUGGACGAGGCCCUGUUUGUCGAAGCUCCUUAGCCAAGGUGACAGCAUCCGAAGCACAAAGCAAUAUCUUCCAUAGACACCUCUCCCAAAAGAUCUUCUGCACAAAGAUCUUACUUGAAUGAUUGAUAGGACGUUUUUCAUGAGUGUAAAUGUUAAGUCUUGUCAAUAGUAGAGGCGGCUCUGCUAAUCAAUAAAUGUAUAACAAGUUAGGUACGGCUGAUCAACCUACAAUUUGACAUGUAAACUAACCUGAUGAGGCCACGUGUACCCCGAACCAAAGGACAGGAUCUAACUUAUGACACUAUAAAUACUCCCCCAUGUACCCCAUACAAAGGCUAAUGCAAGAAUCAAUACAAGAAACCAUAAUUUACUCAACUCUCUCUUUCUUAUUAUCUUGCAACACAAACGAGUCCUUACAUAUUUAGAUACACAUUUACAAACAUCGAUUAGUAAUUAUUGUACAAUCGGUCUACGAACAUCCCGCCAGAUUAUGAACAUUCUCGUCCCGCGCCAUUGAGCUACUCCCACGCCCUUGAUCUAUCCGUUCUAGACCGUCUACAUGUCUAUGCGUGUUGGACUUUCGCUUAUGUGUGCGCAGGUGGGUCCGGUAUCUGUUGACAACAUUUAUUGGGGUCAACAAAUAUCAUGAUUGACAGUCCUCUCACAUGCAAGAGGUUGGUCCCACGAUUAAAAUAAUCUCAGGCCCCACAUUUGUGACAGUGCUGUACACAAAAAAAUUUGCUAAUGGUUUGUUUGUUUGUGGUCUUCUUUGCCUGUUUGAAAUAAUUAGGCCCUAUCCUAUAAAUAACUUUUUGAUUUGAUGACCUUGGAUGAGAUAUAUAUUGGUUAUAUAUUUAAGUAAUUAAACAAUUCAAAAUAAUGGUAAUUUCAUUUUUUAUUAUUCUGUUAUCAUUUAAACGAGAUAUAUGGAGUGAAAAUUCAUCAUAAUUCCAAAUUUAGAGGAAGAAACUGCGUUGUUUAUCGAUUUUUUGUGGAGUUAAUUGUUUUAAUGGUCACUGAAUUUAGGUCAAUGUCAUUAAUUGGUCACUAAAGUUUAAAAUAUCGAGUUUUGGUCACUGAACUUAGAUCAAUGUCUUCGAUUGCUAAUUGAACUUAAGUCCAUGUCUUAGAUUGCUGACUGAAAUUUAAAAUGUCGAAUUUUGAUUACUGAACUUUAGAAUAUGUCGUACAUUACUCACUAGCAUAACUGUUGAACUUUGAAAAAUAUCGAGUUUACAGUGAGUAAUGUACAGCAUUUUUCAAAGUUUAGUAAGUAAUGUACAACAUUUUUUAAAGUUCAGAAACCAAAACUCGAUAUUUUAAAUUUCAGUGAGUAAUUGAAGAUAUUGACCUAAGUUCAGUGAUCAAAAUUCGACAUUUUAAACUUCGGUGAUCAAUCAAAGACAUAGACCUAAGUUCAGGAUCAUUGGAACCAGGGGCGGACCCAGACCAUUUGAACUGUGGGGUCAAAAAAAAAAUUUUCGAACGUAUCAUGAAAAAAAAGGAAAAAUCGGUUGUUUACUGUUCAUAUUCGAUAUGUGCACUUUGGGAAGAAAUCGUUGGAUUAUAUGAUAUAUUUAUGGACUAAAUAAUGGAUAUGGACCAUGUGAUAUGGAUAUAGAUUUAGAAUUUGGACUUUUUGAGGCAGAAAAUUAAGUUUUCAGCACAAAAAAAAAAAAAAAAAAAAAAACUGUGGGGUCAUUUGACCCCAUGUGGGUCCGCCCGUGAUUGGAACAAUUAACUCAUCUUUUGUGCCAUAUCUGAUAUCCCACAAGAUUUUGAGAAUUUCAAAACCAUUCUUUCCAUCUUCAUCCACUUUUCUCGUCCUAAGAGAGUAUGUUGAAAUUCAUCCAUCUUGUACGAUUCAAGACUUUUGUUUACAAUGCACGUGGUUCAAUAAAAUGUUUCUUUUCGCCGUAGAUGUUUGCUUGGAUUUAAGAUUUUAGUCGUGAUCUUAUUAGUGCAUUGUGACUUUAUGUGUGUGACGAACAAUUUUAAUGUAAAAUCGAAAAGCUUGCUAAACAAGUUGAAAAUCGACUUGUCGUGACCGUGACUUUUGUUAGUGGUUUGUGAAUACAUGUGCUGAAACGUUGCGUCAAAGGUCACAAUUUUAAUUAUGAUGAGAGACGAUAACGAAUUAGCAAAAUUAUAGAGAAAUGAUUAUAACUAAUUUGCAACAUUGCCUAUGUUAACCACAAAGGUGCGAGCAUAACAUGGCAUGUUUUACGCCUCUAAUUAUUUCCCAUUGAAUUAAAUAAUGUCUUAGAGUUUACAUAAUAAUUAUCACAAAAUAUAAAUGUACUAAAGCUAUCAUUAAUCAUGCUGUAGACAAGCUAUCUUGCUCAAAAGAUAAUGUGUGGGAUAAGCAUUUUCAAAUAGCAUUACACAUUAUCCUAACAUAAAAAGUGAAUUAAUAAUAAGAAAAAGCUGUUUGCUCAUGGCAUUAACUUAACUUUGUCUCCCACUAAUACUCUCAUUUCCAUCUAAAUUAGAGUGCCCUAAUCAUUAUUCUUAAGGGGAAAAAUGGGAGGAUUUCAAAACUUCGAAUGAUAAUGUUUUUGUGGAUUUUCGACACAAUUCUUACCUUGAGAAAUUGUAGAUCGCCUAAUUAUCGUAUUUAAAAUUUGAGAUUCAAAUUUUUGAAUACUUGAGUCGUUCAAACUUAUUUAUUUUCUUUUCAAUUGUGCUGAUAAAACAAGAUUUCCGUGUUUAAAAUUUGGGAUUCGAAGUGUUAAAAUCACGAAUAGUUCGAGAUUUUCCUUGUUUAAAAUUUGAAAUUCCACCAUUUAUUGCACCACAUCAAGUGCCUAUAAUAUAUUCCCAUGUUGCCCCCCGAGGCACAGUUCAACUGGUGGAUCAAUCAACAUCGUCUUGCUUCCCGCGGUAGGGUGGAGAGUUCGAUUCUUGGUGGGAACCUGCGGCCAAAAAAUUUGGUAUGGAGCAAUCACUGUGGAGGGGGCUCUCUUGUGCGCAGAAGUGUACAGGCAAUGGGGGGAACAUGUGAUCCAAUUGAGGCAUAACCCGCGAUUUAUCCCCUCCAAGGGUCCUGAGGGUUCAGGAUUUGGUCUGGUGUAAGCUGGGAUACCUGGAUAUAAAAAAUAUAUAUAUAUAUAUUCCCAUGUUAUGUUAUCCUCGUGCAUUGAAAAAAAAAAAAAAUUCCAUCACCCCUGAAUCUACGGCAGAUUUCGAUGUCGUUUGAUUAAUUAGUCGGUGGUCUCCUACUUCCAGCCACUUCCCCUUUAUUUCUUGGUCCCGCCGUCUCCCUAAAAUUGGGGAUAAAAUCCCACUCUCUAUCUCAAACGAUCAAUUAUCAAAUCAUUCCUACAUUAUUUUGCACUACCAAACAAAAAGAAAAACAAAAUAGUUCAUCUUAGCGAGAGAUAUCACCCUUAUGCGUGGAUAUAUUUUAUCGGUAGAGCUCGAAUGUGAUCUCUUUUGGUCGAUGAAUUGAUCUUGAAGAAGAAAUUUUAGUAGCAAUAAAAUGGAUAUAAGUCUUGCAUUGAAAGUGAAUAAUUUUGUAUCUUAAAAGUCUCAGAUGUAAGAGUAAUGUUAUUCAGCCCGACAAGUAUGACUGAAUCGUAGAUUGGUGCGGAGCCUACAAGCUGAAUAGCAUUAUUCUACUAUCUAUCUGUUUUAUAAAGAUUUUCAACAAGUAGAAUAAAAAUUUGUGGAUCUAAUAAAAUGUAUGAUUAAAAUUCGUUAAAAGUUACGUAACCAUACCAAACUACUGGUAAAGGUAAGCCAUUUAGAUUAUUACACCUAGAGACGAGUGUCCCUUUCCCAAUUUCCUGUUUCCUUGUUACUCCAGUUCCAUGUGACAUAAAGAAACAAAGUUCAGUUCACCAGUCUUUCUCCAAGAAACUCCAUUGAUUCCUCCAAUUGUGUGCGUCUAAUUAUAAUUCUUCAAGAUAUGAAGACUGGUGCAAAAUUCAUAGUCCUUCACCCGUCAAUCCACAAACCCGGCGGCGGUGGCGCGUUAGUAGUAGCUCUAUCUCACCGCACAUGGCUUCUGGUUCUCUUGCUCUUUUUCGCCUUCACUUUUGGUUUCACUUUAAUCACCAUCAGGGACGCUACAAGAACUUCAAGACCCAAUCGAAGCGCCACUGCCAAAGCCGCCACCGAUGCUCCGUUACCUAGGCCAGUCUUUGACGCGCUCCUCCACUAUGCGUCUAUAAAUGACACAGCCUCCGGUCGGAUGUCAUCGGCUGAGCUGAAGAGUAUCUCCGCCGUGCUCCGCCGCUGUGCUGCCCCCUGUAAUUUCCUUGUUUUCGGUAUCGCCCACGAGACCCUUCUCUGGAACUCCCUCAACUACAACGGCCGUACAGUUAUCGUGGACGAAAGCUCGUACUUAGUCUCCAAGCUUGAAGAAAAGCACCCCAGAAUCGAAGCUUACGAUGUGCAAUUCACCACCAAAGUCAGCGAAUUGCACCCUUUGAUGGCGCAUUACAGAUUGCAGAAGAAAAACGAAUGCAGGCCGGUGCAGAAUCUCUUGUUUUCUGACUGUAAAUUGGCAAUAAACGAUUUGCCAAACCACAUAUACGACGUCCCAUGGGACAUAAUUCUGAUAGACGGGCCACGCGGCUACUUUCCAGCAGCGCCAGGGAGGAUGACGGCGAUAUUUACUGCCGGAGUUUUAGCAAGGAGUAAACGAGGCGGCGUGGACAAAACCCAUGUGUUUGUGCACGAAAUUGAGAGAGAAGUAGAGAAAUUAUGCAGUGAUGAGUUUUUGUGCAGAGACAAUCUGGUGGAGACUAAAGAGAAUUUGGGGCAUUUUGUGGUAAGCAAAAUGACGGCGGCGCGUGGGUUCGAGUUCUGUCCAACUCCGAUUCAUCAUUCUCACCGGAAUUAAAUUCAUCUGACGCAAAAGAUCGAGGAAUUAUCGUCCCUCUUUUUUUUUUUUCCUUCUAAUUUUAGAUAUACAUAUACGAUGGUGUGUAACUUAUAUAGGUUUUCAAGAUCCAAAUAGUAGACGCCAAACUCUGAGAAGUACAAGAUCGAUUUAUCUAUCUACUUUCAUUAAUAUUAGAUUGAAUCGAACCACAAGCAAUUUGUACUUCGAAAAUUUGUAGUCUUUAAUAGUUUGAAAUUAAAUAUCUUCUCUUUCAUCACAAGAAAAGAAAUUGAGGGUCAAAAGAAGAUAUGGGAAAAAGAAAGAGGUUACAAUUGCCUUGAAAUUGGCUGUCGGCGAUAAACUCUUACUUGCGGGGUAGGAAAGGCACAUUUAUUAGACUUGUAUACUCAUAAANNNNNNNNCAUGUGGCUUGCAAAAUUAAGGGCACUAUAAUUUGGACAAUUAUCUAACGAUUAUAUUACAUGUAUAUAAUAAUUUACGUUAUGGUUUAUAUAAACGUGAUGUGGUGAAAGAUGAUAUUUGGUUCGUUUUUAGUUGGAUUUAUUUAGAACAUAUUUGGUAGAGAUUUUAAUUCAAUUAACAUCAAUUUUUUUAUCGUUAUUUCACUAUUUUAGCUGUCAUUUUUGAAUUUUUCUCUCACAGGUAGAACCCACUUACCUUUAACAGUCAAAAAAUCAAUUAACAAAAUCCCUACCAAACAAGCACUUAUAUUGAGCCCCUCUUGUUGAAUAUGUUUAACCAGUGUUUGAUUUAUUUAAAAUAAUGAUAAUCAAAGUAAAAAAUUAGUUUUAAUCAUAGAUUUUAUGAUAUUCACAACUCCUAUCAAAUUUUUAAUCACAUAUUUUAUUCACUUUUAUCAAAAUCUGCUAACAAUUAGAAUUUUAGCUAAACCACAUAUCAGCUCAAGAUGCAAUAUUAAAUAAGCAAAAACGAAUGUUAAUUUGUCGUGGGUUAUCACAUAGAUAUCCAAAAAAUUGAGACAUUUUAAAAAAGAAAAAAAAUAGGUAAUUAUCAUAAAUUGAAAAUACAAUUUCAAGUUUAUCAAAUUUGUAAAAAAUGUUUUCACAAAUCAGGUGUUAAAUCGUAAUACACACACUAAAUCAGGAUAAUUUAAUCAUUACUAUCACAUCCUAUUAUAUAACAUGUAAUCCUUUUUGAAUAACAUAUUCUUUUCUAAUUUUUCUCCCACCCACCUUCUCUCCCCUACUCUACAGAUUUGGAAAAUCGGAACAUUCACAUCUCCAUUAUAUCUAAAAUUGCUCCAAAAUUAUCGUUGAAAUUGACUAUAAUUUGAUGAGUAUAAUUUUUCAAAAGCAAAUUUCGAUUGAGUAAGCCACAAUGCCAUCAUCAAUUUUUACAAUUUUCGUCUAUCUACAAGGGCUAACUUCGAGUGAGUUAAUAAUUCGGUGGUUUAGAAUUUGAAAAUUUCAAAACCAAGACAUUUCUUCUAAAUUCUAAAUAUUUUCUGGUCAAAUAGUAAUGAAGAAUUAUUGUUUGAAACCACAUCAACAUAUAUAAACGUGGUUGUAAGUCUAUGUUAAUUGUGAUCCGUUGUAACCAAAUUCGUCUUCAUUGUGACUGCUUAUGACCAGAUAUAUUUGUCACAUACAGUCAUAGUAAAAGACUAAUCUAGUCAUAAGCAAUCAUAAUGAAGACAAACUUGAUCACAGUUGGUAACAUAUAACACAGAUCGCUCACAAACUAUAAUAGAAUACCCAGAUCUGAUCACAAAUAGUUACUGCUAAACAGAAUUUUUCCACAUACAACAUAAAACCAACAUAAAACACACAAGCAAUACGAUCCAAGUCGGCCACCACCUUAAACCCACAACCUCCUCACCAACUCUACCUCAAAUCCUCCUCAAAUCUAUGUCUCAUCAAAUUAUCCAUCCUCGUAGACUCCGAUGAAAAGCUACGGUUCAAUACAUAUGGUUAUCUUCAUUUUGUAUCUUUUUGUUUGUAUGUAUAUACAGAAAGAGGUUGUAUUUUGUCUCUGUAGGGGGGGGGGGAGCGAGCGAGGAUAGUAAAUAAAGAAAGUUUCAUUGGUAGAUAAAGUAGAGAGAGUUUAAAAUAUCUUUGUGAAGAUGUGGGGUAGGGUUAGGAUAAAUCAUGAUUGAAUCAAGAGAUGUGUGGGAUAAGUAUAUGAUCAAGCGAAACCGCAAGCAUGCGGAUUGUUGACAAGUAAUAGAUUUAGUCAAUUGAUAGUAUCAUUCUACAAGGAAUAAAUUUCUAUUCAAGUUUAUUAGUUAAGCAUGGAAUACGAAUUAUGUAAAACAAAAUGGAGAUUUUGAUAUGAUAUUUGCUAAAUUAAUCUAAAAAAACAAUAAAAGUUUGGUUUUUCAUGAAAUUAUAAAUGAUUGUGUUGGAUCUAGAAUCCGCCUAUUGCUAGCUAUUUCAAUUAGCGACUUAUAAUCUAGUUUGAUUCACGCAUUCUUUACAAUCAAUAAAGUAAUAAUAUAUAUAAUUUUUUUAGACAAAUUAAAUCUAUCUCAAUCAUGACACGAAUUUAUUCCUAACAGGAAUUCGAAUGAUUAGAAUGCAUUAAAAUUUAGAUUAUAUAUAUGAUUGCGCAUCUGAUAAAUGUUAUUCCUAAUAUCUAUUGCAUAUAUGUUAAUUUUGAUGUGUUCUAAAUUUAUUAUGAGUCUUCCAACACUAUAAUAAGCAACGAAUUAUGUAAUUGGUGGUCAACCAAUUAAAUAAUGCAAUGGAUAUGCAAAAUUAAUCAAGAAAUACUAAACUACAAGUCUUGAAUUAGAAAUAAAAAACAAAUGGGGUUCAUCUUUAUCCAAUACAAAAAAGGGAAUAAAGCAUAACAUAUUAAUAUAUAAAUUACAAGAAAAAUAUCACCUGAAUCAUGAAAUAAUUCAAAAGAUGUUAAUCUUUAUGUCCAACAUUGAAUUAUUCAAAAUCUCGAUGUAAUUGAGCUCCAAUUCCUUACUGGGGGCUUGAUAACCUCUAUCAAAAUAUAGUAAUUGGUCCCUUAUUCUCAAUGAAUUUAAUGAUACUAUUGUGUAUGGAGAGUCAAGGGAGAGUUGUUCCCAUGUGUAGCCCUUGUUUUUAAUUUAUAAGAGCCAAAAAAUGAGACAAAAAUCGUGUCUAAUUUAGGUUCAAAAAGAGUUUGAAUCAUGAAAAGAAAUCGCUAAUUCAUUUGCGAAAAUAACCCGUGCAUGUGCACAUGCAUAACUCCCGCGCAUGCAACAUUGAGCCAAAAUGGCUCUCGGGUUGGUGAAAACAAUGUACCACACAUCGAUUUGAAUCACGAUAUACCUAAGCAGCUUUCAAUAUGUUGAUCAUAAUUUUCUUUUUCAAUAUCCGAUUGAGGCAAUUCAAACAACAUUGUAAAGAUAACUCAAAUGGUACAAAAUAUAUAAUUUCUCCAGUUCAAACGUUAACUAUUCGAAAAAUGAGUUUUAAGUUGAGACAAAAAAUUCGGAGCAUAACUUUUUCAGCAGAAAAUUGAUUUGUGAAAAUAUUUCAACUAUAUCUUAUUCGUUUGGCUUUAAAUUGCAUUCAAUUGAUCAUAUGUUAUCUUCACUCAUUAUUUAUAGUCCGAAUCAAGUAUUAAAUAUUUACACUUUGGUCCUCAAACGUUAGAUUUCUUUCGUUUUGCCCAUUUUUCAUUCAUUUCUUUCAAUUCCACCAAUUUGCCUCGAGUUUUACUUAGGGUGUGUUUGAUGCACCCAAAAUUUCCAUGGAAAUUGGAAAACCAAUUCCAAUUCCAUGUUUUUGCUUAUUUGAUGGCUCUAUUUUCUCAUGGCAUUCAUUUUCUAGCUUUUCAUGUCGAAUGGUGAGAAUUGGAAUUCUCGGUUAUUGUAGCAUUUUUUUUUUAUUUUUUUAUUUUUUUGGCAAUGGAAACAAAUUCUAAAAAUUAUUUAAAUUUUUUCCCUUUAACUAGCAAUUUUCAUGUAAACAAAGCACACGAACACCAAACAACAAUUUUAUUUCAACAUUUUUUACGUGAAAAAUUAUAUCAAUAAAACAUAAUAAUUUACAAUUUUCAGAAAAAUAAUUUCUAGGCAACUUAAUUCCCUAGAAUUCGUUUUCCUUUCACUCAAGUUCCAUCUUUACAAUCAAACGGACCCUUAAUAAACAAAGUUUAAGUUAUCAAAAUUUAUUACAAUUAAUCUCAUUUAACGGCUCAAAUAAGUGUAUAUUAUCAAUAUAUUAUAGUGGGAUAUAUAUAAAUUGGUAUAUUAAAAAGUAAAUAUCUUUAUUAUUAUCUAAUUUGUGAAAUUAAAAGUAAUCCUCCUUAUUUUUGAAUAGUAUGCUUUAUAUGUAGGGUUUCGGUUAAUUUUCCCUUUAAAAGUUAACAUAAAAUGUAUCUUCUGUUUGACUUCUUUAAAGCUAAAUAUUUUUAUUUUUCAUACAAUUUCAAUUAUACAUUCAUAUAAUAAAAUAUUCUAUACAUAAACUCAAAACUUUUUUUUUACUUUUUAAUCACACAUUCUACAAAAAUCAUUAUCGCUCAAAAAAUUCUUUCAAUCUUCAAGAUUAUUGCAAUAAAAUUCUUCAAAUAAAAAAUUAACUAUAAAUUUUAUUUCAAAGAUUUUAAUUUUAUGAUUGUAUAAACUUUCAUAUUUUGUUGUUCAAUUUCAUCUCAUAUUUAAAGGCAUUGAAAGUCAUUUUUCCAAGUAACAUACUCAUCUUACUUUGAAGAUAUUUGUUAUGCACUGUAUGAAAAUUCAACUUUGGACUUUGUUUAGCUAUGAUUGACUCAAAUUGGGCGUUUGAGAAUUUUUAAUGUUUUUAUUUGUGUUUGUAUAUAUGAAAAGUCAAUUUUGGAUGAAUAAUGAUCCGAAUACAGGGCAAGAUUCAUACAGGGGCCUUACAGGCCCCUCAUUGUAGAAGGCAGGUUGAUGGGUCCAACCUAAAUUUAGAAAAAAAAAAAAAAAUUCUCACGGGCCCCACCCCCUUGUGUCUACUCUGGCUGCCCUGUAUGUGAAGCAUCCUUCAUUUUGGAUUAAUGGUUCUGAAUUAGUAUACAUGAUAAUUCAACUUUGGAUUAAUGUUUCUGAAUUAGUAUACGUGAUAAUUCAAAUUUGAAUUAAUGGUUUGAUUUAGCAUACAUGAAAUGGAUCAAGUAGAAAUAUGCAUACAAGGUAUUUGUGGAAAUGUAAAUAUGAUUAUGAAUUAAAAUGCUGCAUUUGUAUUAGAAAAUGUGUGCUCUAUCACUUUUUAAUAAGAAUGUCAUACGCUAUCUAAUUUGAAUUUUUAUAUCACUUUUUUUAAUUGGAUAUGAAUUAAGGUUGUCCAUUUGAAAAGUGACAGAACAUGUCACUUUUAAUUAAAAGGUCAAGCGGUGUUUAAUAUCGACGUUCAUUACGCAUAGAUAUCACAAUGGUAUCAAGAUAUAAUAGAAGUAAAUGUAAUUAUGAAGGCACACAACUUUUAGAAGUUGGUAGUUUUGAAACAAAACAAAUAAAAUAAAAAGGGUAAUUGAAACAAAACGUCCUUACCUUUCAAGCUCAUUGUGGCAAACGUCCUCAUCUUUCAUUUUUUUUGGCAUUUUUGCCCUCAUUUCAACAUUUCUUUGCGCUGGAUAUCCUUUUCACCUAUUUUUCAUUUAAAAUGAUAUUUAUACAAAACAAAAAAGAAAAGAAAAGAAAAGAAAUUUGCAUCUAUAGGCCCAAAUUUUUAAAAACUUCAAAUGAGUCCAAAUUUCAAAAAAUCUGUCACAUUCUUCCACAAAAAUGUCAAAAUCUUAGUGCUUUGAAAUAUUUUAUUGCUAAAACUGAUGGACCCGCCACCUCCCAAUUGCCAAAACACCACCUUGUCGCCGACUAUGCCACCGGAUAAGAUCUCUGAGAUUGACUAGCCAACUGGGUUCGUUUGACUAUUCUUUUCUAUUGAAAAGGACUCGACUGACUGACAAGGGAAAAGAGGAGUGAAACCAUUCGACCCCUUCAUUGGUAGUAGAACAACCACAACACUCUCCAACAAACAAUCAAUAGAAACCACCACUUUGACCAAGAAAUCAAUGCAAAACAACUACAGUUUUUGCCCCCAACACCAACUGAAACCAUCACUUCUAACAACUCCCAUGCCCGUCAACCACCACCAUUCACCUCGCCUCAUCUAGGCGAACAUUUUGAUGGAUCAACAUCAUCAAAAAUAGCCCCAAUAAACGUAUGCAAUUUCUGUGAAAAAAUGACUAGUUCCGACACAUUACGAGGCAGUCGCACCUAUAUCAAUUGACGAGUCCUAUAUUGUUUUUCCAUCCAAUGUUCAACACCAUCAUACGAUCCUGGUUAUGCUAUCAAUUGAAUUAUUUGAUCCCCCAGUUGAUCCAAUUUUGGAGUUAAAAUCAGCCCCAAAAUGGACAGACCUUCCAGCUACCAAUUCUCUACUUUCUGCUGGGGCCCACGCCAUAGCAAACCGUCCAUUGGAUUUAGACUCGUGAAAAACCCCCCAUUGCUAUUAAUGUCAUUCUUAUGAAAAUUGAAAAUAGAUUUUAUUUAUUCUACAUGUUUGUUUAUAGAAGAAUUGGGCAAUUUAUAAGAAAUUGUUAUGUGAAAGAAGGUGACAAUUUUUAUUUUUUUUGAAAUUUGGACUCAUUUACAGUUUUUAAAAAUUUGGGCCUAUAGGUGCAAUUUUCUUUUCUUUUCUUUCUUUGUUUUGUAUGAAUAUGAGGGUAUUUUGGUCAUUUUAAGUUAAAAAUAGGUGAAAAGGAUGUCCAGCGCAAAAAAAGAUUGAAAUGAAGGCAAAAAUAUAAAAGGUGGGAACAUUUUCCACAAUGAACUUGGAAGGUAAGGACGUUUUGUGCCAAUUACCCAAAUAAAAAUGAUAUGAUGCAAUUAUAGAUUUGUUAAACUUAUAAUUCGAUGACUACAACACUUCAAAUACUACUACCUAUAGAAAUUUUUGAUGUUAAUGUAUAUAAAAACAUGUCGGGAGUUGAAGAAAUCAUGAAUAAAUAGAAAGUAAAAUCAUUUCAAUUAUAGUUAUGAAAAAGAAGAAAGAAAGUUGACAUAUUUAUGAAGCUCAAGUGUUUUGAGUUUUUUUUUUUUAAUAGUUAUUUUGCUUUUAUAAUUAGAAUAUAUACUAGAGACUUAUGUUAUUUAUACUAAUGGAAAAAACAACUUCAUUAAGACACUUCUGAAAUAGAAAGUGAUGUAUAAUAUCACUUACAUAUAAUUUGAUUUGUAAGACAUACGAAAGUUCAAAUGUUUUCAAAGAAUAAUGUUAUGUAGUCCUAUCGGGAUUGCAACCUCAAUGUAGGUGACACCAAAUGAUAGAUUAAAUGAAAUGUGAAAUUAAAUGAGUUAUUUAAUUCUACCUAUUAAUUAAUGCCACAUUUGCGUCACCUAAACUGGGGUUACAAUCCCAAUAAGGCUAAAUAGUAUUACUCAUUCCAAAAUGGUCUUGCUAGCCUCCUUGUUUUUGCACCUCAGUAAUUACAUGCAAAACAAGGGUCAUUUUUCAUAUGAAUUUGAAACAUCUUCAUUCUCUGGUAUAUACUGUUAGAUGAUACUUAUUUCAGAAAAGAUUUGUCAAUUGAAACAAAAGUAACAUAUGAUGUCACUCUUGAAGCAAGUUAGAACGAAAGUAGCAAAUACUUUAAAAUCGAAUUUUAAGUAAAAUUUAUUUUUAACCAAAGAUUAAUGAUAAUUGAGGGUAUAAAUCUAAUUUCUUGAUUUUAGUUCGUACUGGAUCUAAUUUCCUCAAUUUGUUAAGUCAACAUUUGAUAGCCCUUGUUAAUAAGUCCAGUAUUAUUUAACAAAUAUCAUAUAAGAACUUGACUUGAUGAGCCUGCAAUGUAUACCAAAAGUUUUGGACUGGACAUGAAAGGCACAAAUCUUUUAAUAAAAGUUAAAAAAAAAUAAAAUAAAAAUGGACUCCCUAGAAUAGUUUCGACUUAAAAAAUAUGAUAUAGAGCGUUACAAGUUUACAUUGUUAUAGUCUAAUAAAAAAUAAUUAUUACAUAUAAAUAGAUAAAUUUGUUUAUUCAAAAAUUUAUUCAUCGAGUUAGGUUAUCACGUAAAAUAUCUCACACGAAUAUCUGAAAUCAAAUAAUAAAUUAAUGAAAGAUUUUUUAAUUUAUACCAUUAGUAAAUAUCGAAUAAGAAUAAAGUUAUUUGUACAACUGUUGUUGACAAUUGUGGUUAACAACAUUGAUGUUGUAAAAAUCUGUACCAUUGAUUUAAAAAAUAAUUUUUAAAAUGGAUGAAUGUGAUGUUAUUAAAAUGCGUGUUGUCAACAAAGAUGGUAAAAAUAAAUAUCGAAUAAUCCUAUUAUUAUCAUCUCAAGCGAAUCUACCCCCAAACACUGCCUGAUUGUUGGUCGACCCGAUAGAUGUCCCCCAUGUCCCAUUCCCAAACAAAUUUCAGUUCUUUUUCUGCAUUGUGUCUACCCAAAAACCUAGUCUCCCAAUCCGAUAUCACGUUAUAUCACGUUAUCCAAUCAAUUUGACCUAUCCAAACCCAACCUCUAUAAAUCCCAAAUUUGUUUAAGCCAAGCAGUAAUCUGCAAAAACCUUUUCAAGCUCUCAAUAAUGGCGUUUUUCAAACCUUCGAUUUGUUUUCUUUUCCUUUUCUUUUUUGUAUCUAGUGCUCUUGAUAUGUCAAUCAUAACGUACGACCAGAACCACAACAUGGGCCAUACUCUACGACGUUCCGACGAUGAACUCAUGUCUCUGUACGAAUCUUGGCUUGUGAAGCACGGAAAGGCGUACAAUGGCAUUGGAGAGAAGGAGAGGAGGUUCGAGAUUUUUAAGGAUAAUUUGAGGUUUAUCGAUGAACACAACUCCGUCGAUAGAACGUAUAAAGUCUGGCUGAACCGUUUCUCUGAUCUGACCAACGAGGAGUACCGGUCUAUGUUCGUGAGCGGUAAAUUGAACAGGAAAACUCGGUUGAUGAACAGUGUGAAGAAUGAUCGUUAUACGUUUAAGGCCGGCGACAAGCUGCCCAAGUCCGUUGACUGGAGGGAGAAAGGUGCCGUUGCUCCGGUCAAGGAUCAAGGCCAAUGUGGUAUGUUUCUAAUUUAUGCUAUAUAAAACUUGUAAGUUGUAACAUCUCCGGUUCCAAUUCGUCAGUAGAAACCCUAUAUAUCUACUGUGCACAUAUAUAUGUUUCGUGUGAAAUUUUUAUGCUUUCAUGGGACGAGGAGACUUGAAAAGGCGAUAAUGGGACCCGGAAGAUGGAUUUUUUGAUAUGAGUCCCGGGUCGGGUCAUUGGUGGUUCUAAAGAUUGCUACUUUUUGUUUGUUUGUUUCUGCUAGGAUUCUACACUCUUAAUUAUUAGGAAAUCAAUAAUUUUAUCAUUUUGUACUCUUCUUCGAAUUGGAGGGAAAGUUAUAUAAGGAUAUUUGUUCCUUUUUUGUCAAUUUAACGAAGCAUAUCUAGAAAAUUAAGGGUUUGUAUCAUCAACACUUGAGGCCUAUUAGCAGAUUAAGUUCAACAUAGGUUUAUCUAAAACCCCAACAAUAAUUGCAUCACAAAUAUCGAGUUUGUUGACGGUGCUUGGACUCCUUGAUGUGGGAUACUUCCAACCCUCGAUUCUUUAUUUCGUUGAAAAUACAACCAAAUACUAGAGUUCAAAAUUUGUUGUGGUGUACUUGACAAGUGAUUUAUUGGUAGUUCAGGUUAUAUGUGAUCGAGUUCUAAUUGAAUUGGAUUGAUAGAGUUCGGUUUGAAUUGAAUUUGUUGAGGUGUAAAAACUGGUCUUUAUGUUUUACACAGAGAUUUUGGUCGAUAGAGCUCAUCCUCCGAUUGUAUUCUAUUGUUGCCUAAACUCCUUAGACAAGACAUUCUCGUAAUUGUGGAGCAAGCAUUAUUUUUUAUCACUACCAAUAUCUAUUUUCUUUGUUAAACUUCUUGAUUUACUUGAAUAUAUCCAAGUCUCUAGUAUCGUAGUUGAUAUUGGAAUCUAUGAACACUGUCUAUAUAAUUUGGCCUUGGUAGCUAAUGAUUUGGUUAUUUUCUAAUGAAGGGAGUUGCUGGGCGUUCUCGACUGUCGGUGCUGUUGAAGGGAUAAACAAGAUUGUAACUGGCGAGCUAAUAUCUUUGUCAGAGCAAGAGCUCGUUGAUUGUGAUACGUCGUACAAUCAGGGAUGUAAUGGUGGUCUAAUGGACUAUGGGUUCGAGUUUAUAAAAAAGAAUGGUGGGAUCGAUACAGAGGAAGAUUACCCUUACAUAGCACGCGAUGGUACUUGUGAUCAAAAUCGGGUAUAGAAUAUGAAUUUUAGGUUUUUUAAUGUUUUUCUUUCAAAUUCUGUUCUUCCCAUUGCGAGUCAUUAGUUUUUGCUGUUGAGAUCUUUUUCAGAAAAAUGCUCGAGUUGUUUCCAUUGAUGGUUAUGAAGAUGUUCCAACAAAUGAUGAACAGUCAUUAAAGAAAGCCGUGGCUAAUCAACCUGUUAGUGUUGCCAUUGAAGCUGGGGGCAGGGCUUUCCAACUCUACCAAUCGGUAUGACAUUAAGAAUGCAUUUCCAGCAUUUUAUGGAAGUGCCAUAACCUUGUAAUGGCUGAAUGUUUACCUAUAUGUAACUUUUAGAGUUGAACAACUCCAUCGUUUAUGAAGUGUAGCCUGUUAAGCUACUUCUUCCUCACUGACCCACCCCUCCCUCCGCCUUUCCUCAUGCAUAGUCGAGUGGCAAAAUGCUGCCUCCAAAGACUUUUUUCCUUGUAUUUUUGCAUCAAACACAUUUCUCCGACUAGUUAUCAUGCGAAUAAUAUCAGCAUUUGCUGAGCAAGCUAAGCUAUAUCACUUACUGACAAUGUUGUGUAUUCUUGUACUGUUAAGGGUGUCUUUACUGGACAUUGUGGAACACAACUAGACCAUGGUGUUGUUGCUGUUGGAUACGGUACAAAAAAUGGCCUAGAUUAUUGGAUCGUGAAAAAUUCAUGGGGUCCAAAUUGGGGGGAGAGUGGGUACAUCAGGCUCCAUCGCAAUGUGGCUAAUACAAAAACAGGGAAGUGCGGGAUAGCAAUAGAGGCCUCGUACCCUCUCAAGAAUGGUCAGAAUCCUCCUAAGCCUGGACCUUCCCCUCCAACCCCAGUUAAACCUCCGACUGUGUGUGAUGAUUACUACACCUGCCCGGAAGGAAGCACAUGCUGCUGCUUGUACCAGUAUGGCAACUUCUGCUUUGGCUGGGGAUGCUGCCCGUUGGAGUCUGCUACUUGCUGUGACGACCAGUCGAGCUGCUGCCCACAUGACUAUCCCAUCUGUGAUCUUAAAGCCGGAACUUGCCUAAUGGUAAUUCUAUCAACAUCUUACUGCAAUAUCUUCCUUUCUUUUUCAUGAAAAGCUAUUGAUACUGAUAUUGUAAUAUGGUGUGGCAGAGCAAGGACAAUCCGGUGGGAGUAAAAGCAUUGAAACGAGGCCAUGCUAAGCCGAACUGGGCUGGUGUACUUGGUGAUAGGAAGAAUCCGAGUUCUUGAGAAACCCUGGACAAAUUAACAAGAUUUCAAGCUACGUCUUUGUAAAUAGUUUUUCUUUUUCAUUUCCAUCUGAAACUUGAAAAGACGUUAUUCUAAUCUGUCAUGUGAUCUUGAAUCUCUAAUGGUUGCUCUUAAAUGUUUCAAUUAAGCUAAAUGUUUUUCUUAUCAACCUUUCUUGUUUGGUUUGGAUCAUGCAAACAUAUUAUGAUUACUUAAAACAGUCGCUGAUAAAUUAGUCAUCUAGCAAUUACUGUAAAUUUUUUUUUUUUUUUUUUGAUAACCCAGGUGUCCCAACUUAGCCGGACUAAAUCCUGAACCUCUAGCCCCCAGCCCCUCAGUGACUAGUGGAGGUAAAUCGCAGGUUGUGCCCUUGUUGGUUCUCAGGUUCCCACAUGACUUUUACUCCUUCCCCAAAGGGACCCUCUUCCAUUGUUAUUACAUCACCAAGCUGCUCCAACCCUUCCUCUGGUUAUUACAUCACUUGGCUGCUCCAACCAGGAAUCGAACUCCCCACACUUGGUUCCAGAGCCCCCCAAUGUGAUUGUUUAGCCAACUUGGAUGUGCCCUGGGGGGCCAAUUACUGUAAAUUUUUGUUGCAUGGUUCGUUGUCAUAGACAUAAUGGUUCUCUUUAUUUAUUUAUUUUUUUUUUCGAGAGGAUGGAGGAAAAUAUCACUUCGACUUAUGUUUGGUACAGAUGUAAAGUAAAAAAUAAUUUAUUCUAUUUGAGAAUGCAUAGUAGAACAUUGGAGAAAAGGUAUAUGUCCUAUAGAAUGCAUCAUUCCAAGUGCGAAAUUAGGUAAGUGCGAAAUUUGUGGAGGGGUGAUUUUGGAGAUCCUGGGUGAUUUUUCCUUUCUGCUAGGGCAGCCACCAUGGCCAACCCUAGGGCGCCACCACCUACACAAUUGGGUGGCGGAGGAGUGAUAGCUCCGGUGGAUAGAGGAAGAACCUUUGCUAAUAUAGUGGGGGAGAAGCCAACUUCUCUGCCAGACAUUGAAAUUCCAUGGAAAGAGCCAAAGACGAGUCCUAAUGGCCAAGUAUGGUAUCAAUUCACACAUGAAGAAAUCCAAAAAACGUCCGAGCCUCUGAAGUAUGCGAUAAUUCUCAAAUUCUUGAGGAAACGCCCAUCUGUUGACGACAUUCAGGGAUACAUCAAAUCACGAUGGGGACUCUCAGAGAUGCCAGUAACUGGGGCCAUGAGAAAUCCGCAACAUGUUCUGAUAUGCAUUACCAAUGAAGCAGAUUUUGUAACGGCCUGUUCAAGGGAGAUAUGUGACAUCAAUGGCGUGCCGUACAGAUUGUUCAAAUGGACAUCAGACUUUAGAGAAGACAAAGAACCUCCUUUUGCUCCGGUAUGAAUCUUCCUUCCUGGACUACCCCUAAUUUCUUCAAUCAAUCAACUUUGCAAAUUUUGGUUGGGGGAAUCGGAUGUUUUCUGAAGUGUGACAAUGCCACGAUAUGUGGUUCACGCCCCACGGGGGCAAGAGUAUGUGUGGAGAUGGAUCUGACGAAACCAAGAUUGGAUUCUUUCUGGAUUGGCCCUCCAAGGCAUGGUUCGAGCCACCAUCAAGAAAUUGUUUAUGAAACUUUACGAGCAUUCUGUCAACGCUGCCAUAUCCAGGGCCAUUCUGAUAGAACCUGCAGGAAACUUAAAUCAAUCCAGAGAAAAAAAAUUGUGGACGACAGAACCAAAAUAGAAGAUAAUCUGAUAAAGCAAAACCGUAUGCGCCAAGUUUAUAGACCUCUCAUACGCACAAUGGAAGCGGGGGAAACAUCAAAGAACAAAUUAUCUUUGGAUCCAACGUCUACAGAAAAUCAGGUUAUAGGGGAAAUGACUGAAGUAUUAACAGGAAUGAAUGAGAAUAAAGACGAGCCAGAGAAACAAACGCCUCCUUCCAUUGUGGAGACUGAAGUGGAGACUGUUUUGCUUGAAGAAGAUGGCAAACUCACUGAACAUAUUCUUGUUCAACAUCAGGAUGGGUGCUUAUCACUGGAGAGAAACACAGAGAAUGAUCUUCUUCCCCAGGAAUUUGGUGACCAUCGAGACUUAAUACAACAGGAAAUUUUUAUUCAACACGUGCAGGAGGCGAUUGAAGUAGAAGUGAAUAUUUCAAAGGAACCAAUACAGAAAACGAACACUUUGUUGUAGCCCCCAAGUCAAGUGGAUUUGAAUGAUAAUCAAAUUGCAGAUAACAGAAAAAAAUUUCUGAACUAUUGCAACAGAAAAAAAUUUCUGUCACAUGUCCAAAUGGCGAGGACUUGGAGGGUGAAGAUGGAAAAAUGAGACAGGAAGGAACCACCAUACCUCAACGUCAGAAGAAGAGAAAAUUUGUAAUGCUGUCAGAGGUAAUAACACGCUCUAAAACUUUUUCUAAAUGAUAGACAAAAUAUUGAUAUGGAAUGUUCGAGGUCUGGGAACAUCAAGAACCCAACUCAAUGAUAUGAUGGUUAAAUUUAAUCUAAGUGUUGUAGCAAUUUUGGAACAUGUACAAUCUGUUUUGAAGAUUAGAAGAUGGGCGUGCAGAUUACGUCUUCACAACUGUUUUUCUAAUCAUUUAGUCAAUGGGAAAAUCUGGCUUUUUUGGUAUGAUGACUUAUUAUUUGAGGAAGUAAUGGUUUCAAGUCAACAUAUCACUGGUAUAUUUACUAAGGAUGGAGUCUCUUGUCUAGUCACUGUGGUUUACGCGAGCUACUUUCAAAUUGGUCGUGUAGAUUUAUGGAGGGAGUUGGUUUCUAUACGACGACAAGACAUACCUUGGAUAGUCGGUGGUGAUUUCAAUAUAUUUCGUAGCGAUGUUGAAAAGGUUGGUGGGACACCAAAACCAAAUCUCCCAAAGCAGGAAUUUAAUGAUUGCAUAUCAAACUGUGGCCUACAAGAACUCCAAACAGAAGGCACUAUUUUUACAUGGUGCAACUUACAAGAAGGAAAAAGUUGUAUUUGGGAAAAGUUGAACAGAAUUUUAGUUAAUAAUUCUUUUCUAACCCAUUUUGGAAUGGCUUGUGCUAAGGUUUUCUCUAGAUCCAACUCUGAUCAUUGCCCAUUGUUAGUUCAACUUUUGGCGCAGCAAGAACAUUAUGGUCCACCACCUUUUUAUUUUCAACGGAUGUGGGUAGAUCAUGCCGAAUUUCUACCCCUUGUCAAAGAAAAUUGGGAGAAGCCAACUAGAAGCUCAGGUUUAUUCAAACUUGGAGAAAAAUUGAAGAGGCUAAAACCAAUUUUGAGAAAGUGGAACAAAAUCGGCUUUGGGAAUAUCAAAUGUCGCAUUGUGGAUCUAGAAGACAAAAUUGUUAGACUAGAAGAUCAAGUCUUAAAUUUCGGAAAUGCGCAAGAUGAAAAGGAAUUAAUUGCAACAAGACUUGAAUUGAAGGAUUGGAUUAAGCGGGAAGAAAUUUGCUUGGCACAAAAAAUCAAAGUGAAAUAGCUAAAGGAGGGGGACGCCAACACCAAGUUCUUUCAUGCGUCAAUUGCAAAACGUUGAAAAAAAUAUUGGUAUUACAGCAUGACAUUACAGGAUGGAUCCACACUUGACAGCCCGGAAGCAGUUUACGAUGGAGCAGUUAAAUUCUUCCAUAAGCUACUUACGACUGAAAAUGUCGUACCGAGGGUUGAACUUUUGAACUCAUUGCUUACACCGAGCAUAUCAUUGGAAGAUAAUACCAUAUUGUUUGAGGCUCCAUCUCGCGAGGAAGUUAAAAUUUCGAUGGAAAGCAUUCCACAUGAUAGUAGCCCGAGACCUGAUGGUUUCUCAUCGAGUUUUUAUAUGAGCUGUUGGGAUAUCAUUGAAGAAGAUGUUUGGGAGGCUGCAACUGAUUUCUUUAGUGGGUCUAUGCUACCCAAUUUUUACACAUCAACUUACAUUGUACUUAUCCCAAAAGUCAAAGGUCCUGGCAGCUUUGGAGACUUCAAGCCCAUUAGCCUAUGUUCAGUGAUUUACAAAUGCUUUGCUAAGGUAAUUGCGAACAAAAUUGAAACCUCUACUUCCAAAAUUUAUCUCGAAGGAACAAGGGGCUUUCAUCGGGGGCCGGAGUAUUUUUAACAAUAUUGCCUUGGUACAAGAAUUAAUUCGGAGUUUUAAUAGGAAGAUACGAGGAGGAAAUGUAAUGCUUAAAGUAGAUAUUAUGAAAGCGUACGAUAGGGUUGAAUGGAAUUUCUUGAUGGCAGUCUUAAACACUUUCGGCUUCUCUACACAAUUUCGCCAAUUAAUACAGAACUGUAUUGACGCACCUUCAUUCUCGGUGAUGAUGCAUGGCACUUAUCGGGGAUUUUUCAAAUCUUCCCGGGGAAUCCGUCAAGGAGAUCCUCUCUCUCCAUAUUUGUUUAUUAUUGCUGAGGAGACUCUUACACGCAUGUUAACAAAGGCUUGUUUGGAACAACGCAUUGAAAUUUACUCUCUCCCUAUUGGGGCACCUCAUAUCUCUCAUCUACUAUAUGCUGAUGAUCUAAUUAUUUUUUGUAAUGGCAAUAAAACGUCUAUUAAAGCGGUGGUGGAAAUCCUAGGCAUUUAUGAAAAUAUGUUUGGGCAGAAAGUGCAUCACCGAAAAUCAGCGAUAUUUUUCUCGAAGCACAUGUCCUUGCAGAGGAAAAAUGAAUCACUCCGUUUGAGUAACUUCACACAAGGGUCUUUCCAAUCACAUAUUUGGGGGCUCCAAUAGCCCCGGGUCGUUUAUGUAUCAGACAUUUCGAGCCGCUGAUUAUGAAGGUGAGAAAGAAAAUAUCUGGCUGGAAAUCUUUACUCUUAUCAGUUGGAGGAAGAUUAACUCUUGUAAAGCAUGUUCCUUUAAGUAUGCCUAUACAUAUCUUAUCGGUUAUUUGCGUACCUCAAGGGUUAUUCAUCAAAUUCAUUUUUUAAUCUCAAAUUUUAUUUGGGGAGAGGCAGAUGGUAAAGCAAAGCGACAUUGGGUAAGCUUUGGAAAAAUUACCAAACCAUUAUCAGAAGGAGGAUUAGGCAUUCGAGACUUAGCAGAAGUACAAGUGGCUCUAAAAACAAGAUUUGCUUGGAAAAUUUGUUUCUCUGUUUCUCUACUACAAGAGUUCCUAAAAGCAAAAUAUUUUCUGUACAAUUCAUACAACGAGAUCCAGAUAUCAGCCUUAAACUCACCUUUUUGGAAGAGCAUAGCAAGUUUGAUACCUGCGGUAAUUGAAAAUUCGGUGUGGCACAUAAAAAUCGGAGAUGUUAAUUUCUGGCAAGAAAUUUGGUCUGGUCUAAGACCAUUAGCAAACCUGGUGGAGGUAGUGGAAUCUGAUUUGAGGCUAAAUGCAGUGGUGACCUCAAGAGGGUGGAAUGAAGAUGUCUUAUCAGAAUUAAUCGGGAAUGAUUUAGCUAAAGCUGUUAUAGACUUUGUUCCAAAGUUACGUGAAGGAGUGGAUACAAUUGUUUGAAAACCCUCUCUAGAUGGCUUGUUCAGCACUAGGAAUACUUGGGAACUCAUUCGAGACAAACGGGAGAGUGUAGAUUGGGAUAAAUGGGUAUGGCAUCCACUAAUUCCAAAAAGAAUCUCUUUCAUUACUUGGAAAGCUAUACAGAAUGCACUCGUUGUGGAUGAAAAAAUACAAAUGGUGGGGAUCCCCUUAGCAUCAAAAUGUGUAUGUUGUGUUACACCUCAUUGUGAGUCUCUCAACCAUUUGUUGGAUGGCAGUGACCUGGCAAAAUUUCUUUGGAAUCAGAUAUCGACGACGACAGGCAUCGCUAACACUCCAUCUUUGGGCCGGAGACAAAGAAUGAAUUUCUGGUUCUCCAAGGCAUCAAAAACGUCCCAAGUAGGCAUGAUUAUUGACUUUUCUCCUGUUUUGAUUUUCUGGGCGAUUUGGACAGCAAGGUGCAGAAAAAAGAUGGAAGGUGUGGACAUUAAUUAUGAUCAGAUUUGGGCUUCAGUGAAGUGGUGGUUGGGUGACCUAUGUGCCAAUGCAGCUAAGGUAUCUAGACUAUCUUCAUCCGAUUGUAUUGCACUACGAACUUUGGGAAUCCAAAUCAGAAAACCACAUAAUAAAGUCACUAAAUUUGUCCGUUGGAUACCUCCUCUCCCUACCUGGGUUAAAUUAAACAUUGAUGGAUGUUGCAUAGGAAAUCCUGGUAAUUGUGGUGGAGGUGGAGUGAUCAGGGCGGAUAAUGGAGAGUUCAUCUAUGUUUUUCACACUUUCUAUGGUCACGGUACUAACACAUGGGCGGAGCUAAAAGUUGUUUUGGAAGGCAUCCACGUAUGUGUAGAACAAAAUUUCCCAAAGAUUACAAUCGAAAGUGAUUCUCAAGUCGUUGUGAACUGGUUCCUCAAUAAAUGAUGUACAAGAUGAAAAUUGUGGAAAGCAUGGAAGGAGAUAAAUGAUCUCAUGAUUGGAAGAGAAAUGGUGUUCAGACAUGUUUUCCGGGAAGCAAAUCAAGUUGCAGACGCAUUAUUUAAAAUAGGUGGAAAUGGAAGCACGGCAACAUUUCGUGAUAUGGUAGAUCUUCCUGGGGCCGUUGCCAAGUUAUUUAUAUCAAAUAGAAAUCAUUUUCCAUACGUACGACGUUAAUAAAAGUUUGUCUUUAAAGUGAAUUUGUAAUAUGGAGUUUGUAUUCAUGGUAUUCCUCCGCCAUAUAUGAGGGCUGAUCUAUAAAAUCUGGAGUUUGUUUUAAAAAAAAAAAUGUCCUAUAGAAUGCAUGGUCCAGAAUAAUUUGGAAAAAAUUGAGUCGAACAAACUUUUAAGGGUCGAUUUUUAAAUAUACUUCUUAUGGUAGAGUAUUUACGUUAGAUGUUCCCAGAUUUUACAUGUGAUGCCCAUUCUUUUAUUUCUUCUAAAAGGGCUUCACGUCACAAUGCCUCUUUAACGGAAUUUCAUUCUUCUGAUGUACUUUGACUGACCUUAGGUGGAUACCCUUCCAAAAUAAAAUGGAAACUCGGCCAUGGGACUUAGUGAUAACUUAUUGACAGUGUCUAUUUUAUUUAUUUAUUUAUUAUUAUUAUUAUUAUUAUUUUUUUUGCACUAGAUUCGUAUUUAUAGCAAUCUUGAAUUCAACUCUUGAUUUCUUUCUUCUAACAAAAUGGAUGGUUUAGAAUUCUUCCUCGUUGGGUUUUGACACCGUCCCUGAAUUUGCCUCACAUCCCUUUCUUAGGAGAUGUGGAAUUAAGUUUCUUAUUUAUAGCACACUCAAACCCAAAUCUUGAUUUCUUUCUCGACUGAGAUUAAAAAUACCCAUUUAUAUUUUUCUUGUCGCUAUUCUAGAAAAAUCUUGUCAAUCUAUAUAUUGUAUAUGAAUAAAGAACAUAUAUAAGUCUUAAGUACUUAUUUGAUAAAUUUUUUUAAUCAAUUUUCAACAUGUCAUACUUCAAUUUUAAUCACAUAUUUUAUAAGAUUGUCCUCAUAUGUUGUAAGGUGAAAUGAUAAGACCAAUUAAAUGCGUGAUAUAAGAUCUAAUUUAGCCCCAAUUUGAAAACCAUUUUUGGGUAAAACAAAAUUUUGAAUAGUGAUAUUAGGAGAAUGCGUGGCUAAAAAGUGAAAAAAGUUUUAAACUUACAUGCAGAAUAUUUUAUUGUGUAAACGUGUGAUUAAAAAUAAGUGUGUGAAAAAAAGAGUUCAAAUAAUGAUUAUCAAUCAGGGGCUUAUUGAUAUUAUCAUUUUAUGUCGUGGAUUCGUCCCCCGUUUGUACAUGUACUAUUAGUCUUAUCAAACUUUGCUACAAUUUUUUAUUGAAAGUGUCGUCAAGCACUCUCUAAAUUACAUCAAUUACUUCUCAUUUUUAGUUAGAUUCAUUACUAGAUCGAUAUUGUCUACUUAUCUCCUUUCUAGCGCAAAACCAGAUCUUGUCAACUUAUGAUAUCAUUUUUUUAUAUGAAAGAUGAGGGAGCAUAAAGGAUUGAAAGUAAUAGAAAUAGAAGGCUUGUAUACUCGAUGAGAAUUUUGUUCUCAAAGGGGUGUUUGCUGUCACUCAUUCUAUAGCACCGAUGAUAUGACAAGCCUUUGAGUGUGCACCAAACAAAAACGAAAACUGAUAACGGAACACUUUGAAAAUCUGAACCUUCAGACUUUCGAGGCAGAUUAUGAAAGUGUGCAAGUUUUUUUAUUAUUUUUUUUUAUCUCAUGUAAAUGCCAAAUAUUUUCUAAUCCUCCAUGAACACAUAAGUAUUGAUCUUUGAAAACUCUGCAUGAACUAUUACUCGAGUGAAAACAGAGUACAACAAGGUAAAAAGCCUUGCUGCCCUCUCAAUCGAGCGAGAAACGAUUGCAACAAGGCAAGCCUUACAGCAUUACAUGUUCAAAUGAUCAGUAACUGUAAGCAAGGUUUUCCCUUGUUUGUCUCUUUGUUGGAAUAUUGUUCAAUAUAUAUUAUGAAAUGUGAUUUGAAGUGAACUAAUGUGGAUCAACCAUGAGAAAAUCAUUAGAGGCAGGGCUAUCACUUGACUUCAUAACUUAAUUAUCGAGGCAAUUUUCAAGAACGAGGUGAUCACCAAAUACAAAGUUCUACUGGUUGAGGUCUUGAAAUUUGGUGUCGUUUUGGUUAACUUCACACCCUUUUGGCUUGUUUCUUGCACCCUUUCGUGUGUGAUUGUUGAUAUUUUUUUUAUUGAUAAAUGUGAAUUUCUAUUGAUCAAGAUUAUAUACAAAUAUACUAGGCUUACAUAGGCAAACAACAUUCAAUUGAAGAUUAUAAAUACUCUGGGUAUACCGAGCAAACAAAAUGUAAGAUUUACAAAUGAUAAUAGCUAUAGGCCCGAUGCUAAAGACUCAAAAUGAUUUAAAAUAUGUGGAUACAAAGAAAACAUGACUUUGUAUACGUAUGUUUUAAUACGUCUAACAAUACAAUCAACUUGUGGUCUAAAGUUCUCAAAAAUCCUUUUAUUCCGCGUCAUCCAUAUGUGAUAAACUGUAGUAGCUAAAGCAAUUCUCUUGACCUUGCUUUGUCAAGUCGUUCCUUGAGAUUCCUUCUUCAUCUAUUUCUAUGAGCUUGAUAAAGUAGACAUAUUACGUGUGAUGGCUAGCCAACUGCGAAUCUGCUCUCAAACUGAGUUACUGAACGGACAAGAAGAAAAUAAGUGUUGUGCAGUCUCUUCUGUCUCUCCACAAAAGAUGCAAUUGUUGUCCAGUUCCAAGUAGUGAAGCUUAUCUUUAGUUAGUAAUCUGGACUGAACUUCCAACCAAAGGAUGAACGCAUGCUUUGGAAUGAUUGAGGCAUUCCAAACAAUAGGUGUCCAAAUUGCCUUAGUACCCUUCGGCCUGAAAAAUUCAUAAGCUGCCUGAACACUAAAUCUAUCGGCCACAACCCAUUCGGCCAGCCUGUGCAUUCCUGCAUGAAAGCACUGUUCAGGUCCCAUGACGUUGUCCCUAAUUUCCAGCACUUUUUAAGUAAGGGAGAGUUGUCUUUUCUCAUCAUGCAUUCCCGAAUGUUCGUGCCACGAAGAUGCACCUGAUUGACCCAUUUAAUCCAAAGGGUAUCCUUUUUACUAUGAAUGUUACAAAGUGUUUUUUAGAAUAGUGCAAAAUUCCAGCUUUUAAUAUCUCUAAAUCCAAGUCCUCCUUCAUGUUUUGGUAAACAAAUAUUGUUCCAAGCCACCAAUGGUUUUUUGGAUCCACAUAGGAAGUUCCGACAAAGACUAAUGACUUUGGAGGCAAUUGUAGCAGGUAUGGGUAAUAUGGAUAACCAAAAGCAUUCUACCCCUUGAAGAAUGGAUCUCACAAGCUCCACUUUCCCUGCAUAUGACAAAGAAGCUCUCAACCAUGCACCAAUAUAGGAUGAAAUAUUGUUAAUGAAGAAAUCAUAGCAGCUAACCUUUAAUUUCUGUACCGCAAGUGGGAUGCCCAAGUAGCGAAAUGGUAUGGUACCCUUUGGGAUGUUUGUUAAAGCAAGAAUACCCUCCAAUUCUUGCCCAUGAACUCUCACGGUACACAAGCUAGAUUUGUCAACAUUCAUUUUAAGUCCCGACAUAUCACCAAAUCUAGCUAAGCAAUUCAUCAAGAUACCAACCGAUAUAACAUCCCCUCUAGAAAAUAACAUCAAGUCAUCGGCAAAGUGCCAAGUGAGUGAUGCUUAGAGGUGCGCAUUUAGGAUGGAAGUUGAAUUCGCUAUUUUCGGUAGCUCAUUCUAGAAAAAUACUCUCAAGGCACAACACAAAAUAGGAAUGGGAAGAGAGGGUCACCUUGUCGAAGACCUUUCUUCCUCUUAAUGAAACCAUGGAUGCUCCUAUUAAGUGCAAUAGAGUAUGUAGGUGUUGUAACACAUUCCAUCACUCAAUGAAUGAAAGUAGUUGGGUAUCCCAACCCCUCAAGCACCCUUCUAAGAAAAAACCCAAUUAACCGAGUCAUGGGCCUUAUUUAAAUCAAUUUUAAGAAGACAUCUUGGAGCUACCUGUUUACGGUUAUAUUGCUUCAGAAACUCUUGGGCCAAAUGAAUAUUUUCUAUUAUACUUCUACCCUCCACCAAUGCGGCUUGUGCUUGGUCAAUGAUGGACUUAAGCAUAGGCCCCAAACUUGUGGAAAGAAUUUUGUGAUGACUUUAUAUAAUAUAUUACAACGAGCUAUGGUCUAUAAUCACCCACCGAAGUAGAGUGGUUCGUCUUGGGUACCAAUGCAAUAACCAUAUGAUUAGUUUGCUUAAGGAGAGAUCCCAAUGCAAAAAAAUCCUCAAUCGCCUCCAUGAAUUCAUCAGCAGCAAUAUUCCAGGAUUUUUUGAAAAAGCAUGAAAUAUAUCUACCCGGUCCCGUGACUUUUCAUCCCCAAUACUAAAGAGAGCAUCUUUGAUUUCAUGCCUCGUGAUAUCCCGAACAAGUCUCCUAGCAUUAUCGUCUGAUAAUAUAGGCCCAGUUCUCAAAAUUCCAGCAUCAAAAGUCUGAAUAAAACUGCAUUUUUCCAGCAAUUCGCUAUAAAAGUGAAUGAAUUUAUCCACUACCUCCUUUUGAGAAGAAGAUUAUAUACCAUCCCUUUUAAUAACAGCUGGAAUAUAGUUCCCUAUAGCAUUUCUCUUGAUCAACGAGUGGAAAAACUUUGUGCAUUUAUCACUUUCUUUCAAAUGCACACACUUUGUUUGUUGAUAAUAAAAGCUUCUUUCCGCUUCACCAAGUACCAUGGCUUCUUUCCUCAAAUGUGCAACAUCACUUUGCAAUUGAGAAUUAGUGGGAUCAUCAUGCAAAUCCUUUUGUGCCAAUUCCAAUAUCUUUGAAGCACAUUCAGCACUUGAAGAUAUGUGUGCAAAAUGUUUGCUAUUGAGCUUCUUUUAUACCCCUUUAAGACCUUGUAAUUUCUUCCAAAGCGAAAAUUGUUUGGUACCACAAACAACUUGGUUCCAGGUAUUAGAUACCACAUCAUGGAAAUCUUCAUGUUUGAUCCACAUAUUGAAGAAUCUAAACGGAAUGUUUUUGCUCCCAACUUCCCCAAAGAGUGAUACAAUGCAAGACGAGUGGUCGAAAAGGCAACUUGAUGUUAAAAAUGUAUCUUUAACAUCAAAUUUAUUCACUCACUUUCAACAUCAAAGAUCAAACUCUAUUUCUAUAUUUGUUCUUAAAAGUUAAUUUUUCAAGUUUGUUUGCUUGAUUCAAACUUGGAUUAAGGUUUCUUUACUUCUGCAAACUAUUUGCAUUUGAAGGCCUUCAAACACUUAUCCCGGUGGCGGCAAAUAUCUUUUGAGCAUGACUCAUAGUCAUGUUCAAACCUUUCGUUUUGGUGGAUUCUUGUUGCUGAACUUAUUUGUUCUUCGUCAAAUUCAUCACAACACUCUCUGCUCAUUGUUCCACCUAGAGUAAACAACUAAAUUGAAGUAGAUUUAAUGUCUCUUACACUUGAUCACAAACUAGCAUCUGAAUUUCGACCUAAAAUAGUUGGCAAUCAGCAGAGGUUUUGGGUUUUCUUGGGACCAAGAACCCUACUAAUGGCUUUCUACCAGCUAGUACUAUUUCGUUUACUAACUACUAUGUUUGUCCUGUCAUGAAUUUUGUACUGCACAUGAAAGACUUCCAAUCACACUUACAUACUCAAGUUGAGAAACUGUGUUUGGUACUCAUGCCACUUACAUAUAAGAAAAUGAAAUCUCGAAAAAUAUCGAGAAAGAAUUGACAAGUUGAAAUUCCAACUUUUGGCAUGGAGUAAAAUAUGGAGUAAAAUUUAUACAAUCUAAAGACAAUUUUAAUUAAUUUUUUUCCAUUCAUUUCCUUCCAAGAGUAGUCACAAUCUUCCAAAUUUAUUGAAAUUUGAAAUUCCAUUUUAAAAAAUCAACUUUAUUAAGAGGGGUAGCACAAAUACUUAUUUAUAAUUUUGAUAUAUAUUCAUUAACAUGUCCAUGAAAGAUGAUGUCUCGUUUGUUCAAACCAAUCUUGAAAUUUGUGUGUUUGCUAUGAGUCGUAAUUGGAUUGGAUUGAUUUUGUGAGUUUAAUGGGCUAUAUAAUAUUUAGACUCAUGGUUCCAUCAUAGAAAUGUUAAUCUUAUUGAGAGUGGUAACUCAAAAUCCUUAUAUGUUGAUUAUAAUUUUGAUAUUUAUUCGACGUCGGAUUUUUAUCUUAACAAAACUUUAGUGAUAGUGUGGACGAUUUCCUCGCUUUAUCCAGAUGUGAAAGACUCCAAUCGCCGUUAAAAGUCGAUUACUCAACCUUUGACUCUUAUGAAAUUAUUAAUUCGACUCUAAGUAAAACAUAAUAAUUACCUAGGUCAUAUUCGGUGCUUAAUCAGAGAGUAAGUGGAUAACUUGGUUUUAAGUGACAUCUAAUCACAAAAUCAUUUAAAGUUUGUUGGAUUGAGUUGACCAUCAUUACUAUUAAACCCGUCAUCUAGGGCGAGAUUUUGCAAUGAGGAGGUUUAUCGAAAUUAUGUUUAUCAAUUAUUUACUGGAAUAAUUGUGUUGGUUAAGAUGAAUCAUAUUUAAAAGUACAUAUUAAAGGAGCUGGUUAAGUCAUUGUAAGUUAAAAUCAACAAUUAAUUCUAAUAACAUAUUUCAUGUACCUACAAUUUUUUAACCGUAUGUUUUACGAACUUUUAUCAAAAUAUACUACAAAUUUAACUUUAAUUUCACCAAACAAAGGCUGAAGAUCAAUUAUGAAAAGACCAUAUUGCCCUUUUCCAGAGGUUUUUUUUUUUUUUUUUAUUUGAUAACUUAGGUGUUCAAGUUUCGUCUGACUAAUCCUGAGGAGAGGCGGCCUUCCCCCCCGAUUCACCACCCAGGUAAACUCGGAUGCAAUCACAGCUUAUACAUACUUGGACCAGACAUUUGGGAUGCGGUUUUCCUCCCUGUAAACCUCCCUUUACGAUGUGCGAACAGGAUUCUCGGAGGGACGACAAAACGCACCAUAAUUUUGCCUCAGAACAACUGCCUUCCAAUUGUCGUGAGGAUUCGAACCUCCGAUAAUCCGUAUAGAACCCUGCUAUUUUACCACUACGCCACGUUCGUGGACUCCUUUUCCAGAGUAUUUAUCCAUUGGUUAGUAGCAGCACUCGUAGUUAGUGGUCCAAUAUAGAAAGAGAAAUAUGAAAAGGAUUGAAGGGAAAGUCCUGAAUCUGGCAGAUAAGCCUCCAAUGAAGCCAUAGCUAGCAAGCCUAGCAAUUGCAUUUCACUUUUGCAUCUACUUCAAGGCAUGCAUGCCACAAAGCCAUACUUGAUGUUGGCUGGUUAGCGUAUAAUUGCAGUAAUGCUAGUUGCAUGUGCUUUUAAAAUCAUCUAGUGGGGUUGAGCUGUUAAAACGUAUUUAUUAGUCUUCUAAACUGCAUAAAGUAUGACUAGACGAUAAGACUAAACUUCAAGAUUUUUAAGAGCCUAAGUGAAGCCUAAGGUGUAGAAAAAAAAUGUAAAAUGUGACUUGCAAUAAGGUCAAACUUAAAUUCUAGAUGAAAUUUAGGCGAGCUUUUUAAAAUACUGAUAUUUUAAAAGAACAUUGCUCGUGUAUUUUUAGAACCUAUUGUUGUAUGUGUGCUAUAAUGUAUUCAUAUCUUGAAAUUUCUAAGAUUUCAUUUAUCGUAUUUUUGUAUAACUAUCUUUGAGGCCGAGUAAAUAUAUCUUUCAUUAGAAACUAUGGCGAUUGUUUCAUUUUAUUUUUUUGGGAGUAAUAGAAAAAGGACAUAAGCAACUUACUCUUAAGUUUAGUGAUGGACUCCUAAAAUAAAGGGAUCUGAAUUAGAUUUGUCCAAAUAUGCGGUGGUAGUUUUACCAAAAACCAAAGUUGACGAGGUCUUAUUAUAAGGGUAAUUAGUAAAAUCCUUAUCAUUUGUACGUGUUGCGCAAAUCGUCUAUAUUGUUUCAAACUUGACAUUUACAUCCUUAUUUCAAAUUUUUAUUGUGGUAUUGGUCCACCUCAAUAUGUCAAAUAUGAGUAAUUGAUGCUAAACAUCCAUAUAAUUUGCCUUCAUUGUACAAAUCGUCCAUAUUUUAAUUUUGGCAUUUGGUGCAUUAUAUCAACCAUUUCUUUGUGCAAAAGGUCCUCAUUAUCUAUUUUCUGUAUUAAAGAAUUGUAAAAAGGGCAAUUAUAUUCACACGACAAUUUUUUAUAUAUGCACCACAUUUUAAUUACAAAAAAUGUUUUCAAUAUUUACUCACUUUUGCUUUUAUGUCAUCAACUUUUUUCUUGUCCAAUUGUCAUUUUUAACCUUUAAUUAACUCUAAUCACAAUUUCAUCCAAAUAUUUUGCUAACGUGCAUUGAAAAGAUGAACAAAUAUUUUGUUUAACUUUGUAUUAGUUAUUUAUUUCGACUAUUUAUAUACGAGAGAUAAAUAUGUCUUUUUGGCCCUUAUAACAAACAUUUUGGACAAAAACCGUCUCUAUAGACAAGAUGUAAAAACUAAUAGAGAGUUGAUAGUAAAAAAAAUAAAAAAUAAAAAAAAGUUAAGAACAUAAGUAGCAAAAUAAGAACACUUCAAGAAUAUUUUUAGUGAUUAAAGUGUGGUGUAGUUAACAAAAUUAUGGUGUGAAUAUAUUUACCCAUUGUAAAAUGAAUAAUUUGCACUCAUGUUUAAAUGAAGAUAUAGAAAAGAAGAAAAGAAUAUAAAAAAAAUAUUAACUACUGCUAAAGUUUCAAAUUUUUAAAAAAUUACAAAUGAACCUCAAUAAAACAAUUUAAAUUUUAAAAUAUACUAACAAAAGAAAAAUAUUUCAUUUUUUAAUUAAAUCCAACCUACCCCUACUCCUAACCCCGACCUACCACCACUACCAUCAAAAUAAUUAAAAAGAAAGUUAAAAAAAUUAAAAAUAGAAAAACAAAAAACAAAGUGGUUUUUCUUCUCCAUCCAUUUCCGCACCCUGCCAUUGGCCGUUUCACCACCACCACCUAUUCUCCCCAUCCAGGGAUUUAGCAUUUUUCUUGUAAUCAAAUUUCAUGUUCCAAUAUCAUUUUUAUUUUCAGCAAAGUUAUAAGAUUUUUUUAGGGAUUUAGUUAUUUUCAGGAAAUUCUCGUUUUUAUCUUCUUGUUCUUGUUACCUACACAUAUAUAUACACAUGUACCCGCCCUCGGGGCAUAAAUCAGUGGUGCAAAGGAUAGGAGUGAGGUUAUCUCAGGCCUUGUUGGCAGCCGCAGUGUGGGGGUUCGAUUCCUGAAAUAUGGAAUUUGGCUCCUUGUAGGCGCAGUGUACGCCUCAACUCUUAUUUCCUGGCCUGUUGGGAUACAUCCCGUGAUUUACCUCCCUCACAAAACUUUAGGAGCGGGGCGAUGGGGGCUCUUAAGGUUGGAGUUCAACCUUUAUUUUUAUUUAUUUUUAUUUUUUUUACCCACUACAUCAACUUUGAAUUUUGUUUUAACUUUAUUCAAUUUAUUUAUUUAUUUAUUAUUAUUAUUAUUUAUUUUGCCUUAUAAAAUGACGUCCGAAGAAUGGAAUUUCUUCUUUCAUCAGAGGGUUCACUCAAAAUCUUAAUUCAAAUCCCAAUCCCAACUUUUCAAAGUCAAAUCCAGCUAAGAGGAAAAGAAAUCAUUUUUGUAAGAUGAUUUUUUUUAAUCAUGUUUUAAAUUACUUUAAUUGGACUUCGAUUGCACUAUUUAAAAAUUUUAGGACUUUGGCUACAGUUAUUAUUUUUUUAUAUUAUUAUUUUUAUUAAAGAUGAUGGUAAAUUAGUCACUUUACAAUACUAUAAUUAAAAAAAUAGACGUUCAGGACCUUUUGCAUAAAGAAAAUAACGAUACGAGGGUCCAAAUGCUACAAUUAAAAUGAUAGGGAUGAUUUAUGCAAUGAAGGCAAACGAUACAAACAUUUUGCUCUAAUUGAUGGAACAAGACGGGAAAACCAAUUUCGCAAGAAAAAGUUGAAAUGAGGGUGCAAAUACCAAGUUUGAACUGAUAGAAAUGACUUGCGCAAUGAGUACAAUGGGGAUAUUUUGUGUUAAUUACCCUACUCAUAAUUCCAACAUUUGAGGUGUCAAUUGAUAAUACAAGGAUGAAAUGGUCUUAAUUAUAUAUGUUAAGGGCAUAUUUGGUACGAGCUCUUGAAUAAGUUUGAACAAUAUAAUAAAUAAUAUUCUAACUUUUUCUUUUGGAAUAUUCUAUAUUGUCUAAUCUUUCUUAUCAAAUAUGCUACAGUAGAUAUUCGAUAAAAUCCACAUUGUAAUGGCCCCCAACACCCAAAUUUCGAAGUUCAUAUAGUGACUUCACAAAUUUUCAAUUGUCCAAGGGCAUCAAUGCAUCCCCCAACACGCACAUUAAAGGACUUUGACACAUUGGUUUCGUUGCCCUUCUGGUCUUUGGGAAUACCUAAUUAUUCCUUAAUUAAUCAAAGUAAUGCUAUCUAUUUAUAUUUUAAACGACUAAAAGAAGGACGUUGGGUCGUUUAGCAUUGAAUACGAACAAGUUCUGUGUUUCACAUUGAAGAUGCCAUAUUUAGUGUCGAUUGUAUUGUGCCAAUAGAGGAAACAUGUGCUCUAUCUUUGUGCGAGUGUUAAUUCAAAAUGAUUGUUAUUGACGAGUCAAAUUAUGAGUUAUGGUUACGAAUGAAAUAAUACUUGUAACUAAUUCUUCUCAAAAUGCAUUGAAGCGCAAUAGGAGAUUGAUUAAGGCCCCGUUUGGUAGGGAUUUUUUGCCCCAAAAAAUUGAUUUUUUGACCGUUAUUUUACUAUUCAAGCCGUAAUUUUUGACUUCUUCUCUCACAUGUGGAUUCCACUUUUCUUCUAACGGUCAAAAAAUCAAUUCUCAAAAUCUCUACCAAACAGACCCUAAGUUUACAUUUUAACUCUAUUGUUCGAUACACGAAUCCAAACAACAAACACUCACCUAAAGUCUAAACCCCAUUUUUUUACUUUUACUACACAUCUCAUAUGCUAAAUAGUGCAAAACUUUAUUCAGUAUUAAAAUAUCCACUUAAGUUUCAUAUUAAAGAGUUGACCUCCCACUAUCAAUGUAAUCAAAACAACAAACAACCCCAUAGGACAUAAUUCAAUAGUGCAAAUGAUAGGAAUGAAAUAGUCUCAACCUUAUUGACAGCCGCAGUCUGAGAGUUCGAUUCUUGGGAUAUAGAAUUGGAUUCUUUGUGGGUAUCAGUGUACGGGCAAGCUCUUGUUCCCUGGCCUACUGGGGCACAUCCCGCGAUUUACUUUCCUCACGAUGCUCCAAGAACAGGGUGGGACAGUGAAGGCCCUCAAGAUUGGGAUUCUAACCCUUUUUUUUUUUUUUUUUUAAUCUAAACAACAAACAAAAAUCACCAUCAAGUGCAUCAAUCAAAAAAAGCCACUUUUCCAUCCCCCAAAAGCCACCAAGCUUAUCUUCUUGUGUACUUGUUCUUCAAAGCCAAUAGGCAAUAACCAGUCAACUUUAUCUUAACUGAUACUUGACUUAAAAUAUUGCUUCAAUAAGUCUAUACAUACACUGUACAGUAUACUCCCCAGAAUGUAAAUUUUCAUAUACUGUAUUCUGAAAAGAUAGCCUUAGAAAUGCAAAAUCUUUGUGUAUCUGAUGUUGCUUCCAUCAGAGGUAGUUUUCGAGGGGCCCUGCUUGGUGUGCGUGCCAUUUCUAAUUCCUGCCCGCCAAGAAAAAACACACACACUCCACACAGUUCGAUAGCAUAAAGAUUUUUAAAGUAAAAAUCAUAAACUAACGCACAUAUAUAAAUCUAUAUUCCAGCCUAUAUGCAUAAAGAAAAGACAAGCGUGAUACCCGCUUUGAUAAGAUCUCUUCCUUUAUCUUUCUCAGUCUGUGAGAGAUACACGGAGAGAUAAAAGUGUGUGUGUGAGAUAUAGAGAGGGAAUGGGGUUGGCUUUACUUUUCUGUACUGUAUUAUGAGCAAAGAGCAAAAACUCAUUCUUUCAAGAAGAAGAUGACUCCAGAAGAAAAUGCGCAGUCCUCCUUGCUUGAUUCCCUGUACUGUGAAGAGGAAAAAUGGGGCGAAUUUGAAGAAGAAAGCAAUGAAAAAACCACCUUUAAUGGAGGAAAUCUGUCUCAUCUUCCUUUACUGUUAACCGAACAAGAUUUGUUCUGGGAAGAUGAAGAACUUAACUCACUUUUCUGCAAAGAAAAUGAAGCAUUUCUCGAUGGAACAGACAUUUCUCUUUCUCUGCAGGCACGCACAGAUGCAGUUGAAUGGAUCUUGAAAGUCAAAUUUUUUUAUGGGUUUUCAGCGUUGACUGCCAUUCUUGCAGUAAAUUAUCUUGACAGGUUCCUUUGCAGCAUCCAUUUUCAGAAAGAGAAGCCAUGGAUGAUCCAACUUGCAGCUGUUACUUGCCUCUCUUUGGCUGCAAAAGUUGAAGAAACCUGUGUUCCCCUCCUCUUAGAUCUUCAAGUACGUAGUUUCAAUGCUUAAAAGUAGAUUUUUCUUUACCUGUUCUUUAUGACAAUACGUAGAGAAGUGCUGUAAAAAAAAAAAGAAAGAAAGAAAGAAAAGUAGCUAAAACCCCUGUAUUUUACCGGCAAUCUUUAUUUAUUUUUAUUUUUUGGUUUAACAUUUUGCUGAUUUCAUUAGAUUGAGGAUACAAAAUGCAUGUUUGAGGCGAAAACCAUUCGAAGAAUGGAGCUUCUGGUGUUAUCAGCGCUCAAUUGGAGGAUGAAUCCAGUGACUCCACUUUCAUUUCUUGAUCACAUUAUUAGAAGGCUAGGAUUAAAGAGCAAUAUUCACUGGGAAUUUCUCCGGUGCUGUGAGAAUCUCCUUCUCUCUCUAUUGGCGGGUAGGCUAAAAAAAGGAAAAGAAGCAACUUUCACCAAAUAAGUAACUUAAAAGUAAUAAUAUAUUUCUUAUGCGUUUUGUAUGAUUAUACAGAUUCAAGAUUCGUACGCCAUCUACCAUCUGUCUUGGCUACGGCAACCAUGCUUCACGUUAUUCAUCAAGUUGAGCCUUGCAAUGCGAUUAACUAUGAAAACCAGCUUCUUGAGGUUCUUAAGAUCAACAAGGUUUGAUUCCUCACUGCCCUCGCCCCCGUGCACCCCCGCCCCACCCCCCUCCUUUAUUUUUCUUUUGAAUAAUGCUAUCCAACACCCCAUUGUAGAUGGCAUACUUUGUAAUUUCAGUUAAAUAAGUCAUUGACUUUGUAUUUAAGUGAACGUACAAUAUAUUCCCCUUCGUACUCAUUUCAUUUUUUACUCUCAUAUUCAACUUUCAUAAAAUAAUAUUACAUUUAAAUCGAAAUAUUUUUUUUUUUUUUUAAUCACUCGUCUACAAAAAAAAUAUUAUUUCACAUAUUUUCAUUUUAAAAAAAUAGGGGCCAAACGGGCUUAAUAUUAUUUAAUUGUCACUUAAAUUGUUGUUUACCGUCAAUAAUGAAGAAUAACAUUACUCUUUUCUUUCUUUCGAUGUUCAAUCAAGACCAGAAAAAGUGUCCAAUCCACAAUCUUCACUUGUAGACGACUUAGUUCGACGUAUAUGAGAGCAUCAAAGAAACUAACUGCGCCUCCCAUUCAUUAAAAUUUUGUGUGUAGGACUUAAUACUAAACGCGAAUCUGGCCCACACACAAAGGCGUGUUGAAAAUAAAAAGACCUGAGUUCAUGUCACCCCGUUUAAUAAAAUGAGUUUUGGUCUCCAUGAGAGGACGUGUUGAUUUACAUGAAAAAAUGGAUUUUCUAGCAGCUUAAAUUUUUUAAGUUUUCUGACAAUGUGUUUGAGUAAAAUUAUUUACGUUGACUAAUGGAGCCUGUAAUUUCGUUUUUGUAGGAGAAAGUGAAUGAUUGCUAUGAGCUUAUUUCAGAUUUGUCAAACAGGUGUUUACAUGGCCAAAAAAAUUCCCAGAAGCGGAAAAUUUGUCAAGUUCCAAGCAGCCCAAGUGGAAUAAUGGAUGAAUUUUUCAACUCGGAUAGCUCUAAUGAUUCAUGGAGAACUGUAGUAUCGUGCGUUUCCUCAACGCAUCAGCCUGUCUUCAAGAAAAUUAGGGUUCAUGAACAGCAGAUGAAAUUACCAUCUUUAAGCAGGAUUAUUGUGGCUGCAAUUAAAAACCCUCAUUAGCUAUCUAUCUAGAUUUGGGUAGCACGGAAUGGCAAAUAAAGAAGCUAUAAUUUCGUUCAUUGUACUGUCCAAUGUUGUUCCGAACUGCACACCAGAUAUGCACUUAAAUUGGUUUCGUAUUUAAGAGUUCAAGUUAAAUUGCAUGCAUUUAAUCACUCUGCCAUUAUCACAAGAAGGGUACUAAAAUCAGAAUAUUAUUAUCGUAAUUAAAGAAAGAAGAAGAGAGUUAAUGGUGGCAGAAAGAGCCGGCAAUUUACACAGAAGAGUGAAAAGGACAAGGAAUGAAGAAUGUCUGCAUUCUGUAGCUAUGAUGAUGCUAAAUCUCUCUCUUUCUCUCCAUCUCGUCCUUUCCGGGAAUACUACUUUGUAUGGACAUGUCUGUAUUAUCAUAAAUUGAUACAAUAUUUAUGUUACCAUGUUUGAGAUGUCUUUAUAAAUAGUUUAAAUUAUAUAUAAAUAAGUUACGUUGUUAGUAUUUGUAAAUCUCAAAAAACUCUAGUGUUUAUAAAUUCUAUAAAUAUGAACCAAACGGAGACUCGUUUAGUUUUAAAAUUCAUAGCCUCGGCUAUUCGAAUCCUUUUACGUGUAAGGCAAUUAUAUUUUGACACUUCAAGAUGUACCUCUAAUCUUGAGUGACAAUAGAUAAGAGGUUGUGUGGUUUGGUACAUCUAGAUGCAUCCUAAUUUCGUCUCACAAUACCAUCCUCCCCGUAGUACUUGACUUACACAAUCAUACCCGCCCAAUCUAGAGAGACAUUUUGAUGCAGAUAAAUUCGUUGAAAAUAAAAUUUGAAUGAAUGCAUGUGGUCCAUCUCUAAGUCGGAUGAAGAGAACAACAUCUCUAACUGGUUGUAGAUUGUACUAAUUGUCGGUCCCAUGUAUAAGAGAAGAAAUGUAGAGAAAGAGCGAAGAUAAUUUUUAAAAAAUUAAACGUACGUGAAUUAUAAGAAAAUUAAGUAAAGGAUGUCUAGCACACGAUUCUUAAGUGAAUGUACGAGACAUCCAUUACCUUUUUUUCUCGUCAUGUAAGGAUUUGAAGUACUUUUUGUUGCAAUCGAACAAAGUGGUUAACAAAUUGCAAAAGCUGUCGGCAGUGGGGUUUGGGGGUUUGACCUUGUUGGGGGGCCAUUACAGAUCCUUGUAUCUAUACCGUUGAGUUUUAAGCUUAAGAAUCAAGAUAGAGUAAUCUGUAUGGAAAGUAAUUUCAUAAUUAUUACCUUAAAAACAUAAACCCUUUUGACUUUGUUUUUCACUGUCCUUUUAUUGCUUGAUUUUGAACGUAACCUGUGACCACAGAAGUUCCAAGUUUCACACAUGCAAUAUGCAUGCAUGGGUGCCACUCAUUUGCCAGUUUGGCUAUAUUGAGUGAUUAACUUAAUAAAUAGAAUUUUCUUUUUCUCAAAACCAUUUAAAUUUUUAGUCAAUAUAGGUUAAUUAACAUGAAUAAACUCACAAAAAGAUUCGGAGUUUGAGUUUUGCUGCUAAUGGCAAAAUUUAUUUCGUUUUCCUUGAUUAGUAUAUAAUAUGAUUGUUGAGUUUCGAGAUGUUUACGUGUCAGACAAUAACAUUUUGACAGUUCAAGAUGCAUCUCUAAUGUGGAGUGACAAUACACGAGAGGUUGUGUGGUUCGGUACAUUUUAACACAUCUAGAUGCAUCCUUAGUUAGAUUGACAAAACCCUCCCCGUAGUACUCGAUGUUAGAAAGACAUAUUGAUGCAUAUAAAUCAGCUGGAAAAAAAAAAUGAAUGAAUGCAUGUGGUCUAUCUCUAAGUUAGAUGAAGAGGAGAGCAUCUCUAACCGGCCGUGGAUUGUUCUAAUUGUUGGUCUCAUGUACAAGAGAAUGAAUGCAGAGAAAGAGUGAAGAUAAGUUUUAAAAACUAAACGUACACAUCUUCCCAUAAAACAAAUUUGAGUUUUGCUACACGAACAGAGCCAUUCAUCGGGGGCCAAUUGGUCUCUUGUCACGAAUAGUGGCAACUUGGCUCUGUUACUAAAAAAUAUUAAGUAAAUGAUGUCUAGCAAACAGCUCCACGGAUGAAUGUAUUAGAUAUCCUGCCCCUUUUUUUCUUGUUAUGUAAAUAUUUCAAAAUGAUUUGACAUACCUUUUGGUGCAAUCUAACAAAGUGGCUGUCGGCCGUGGGGUUUGGGGGUUGGACCUUGUUGGGGGGCCGUCAUUGAUCCUUGAAUCUAUACCGUUGAGUUUAAGGUUAGAAAUCCGGAUGCAGUAAUAAUCUGUAAGUACAGUAAUUUAAUAAUUAUUACAUUAAAAACAUACCCGCUUUUGAUUAUUGCUCUUUCUUACAUAGUCCAAACCCUUUUGACUUUGUUUUUCACUGUCCUUUUACUGCUUGAUUUUGAAAACUUGACCACAUAAGUUUCAAGUUUCAACAAAUGCAUGCAUGGACGGGUGCGGGCCGGCACUAAUAUUUUGGGGACUUAUGCCAACUUUAAAUAUAAAGUCCCAUUAAAAAAAAAUCAUCAUAUUCUUCCUUGAGCCUUCUUACAGAGAGUAAAUUGAGCAUAGAAAAAUUAAGCCUCAAAAUUUGGAGGAAAAUAAUAAAAUAUCUAAUUUUGACAUGCAAUACAAAUUAUAAUUGAAGAUUGGCAUACAGAAUCAUAAUGCAAUGACAAAUGUGUCUGUUUGUUUCUUUCAUCAUUUUUUUCACUUCAACUAAAACAAAAUUAAAUUUCAUUUGAGUGAUUCAUGUACAGAUAAUGAAAAUGACGUUAAAAUACAAACGAACUUUUAAUUUUAUAUUAAUUUAUACUAAAUUAAUUUACAAACAAAAGUAUGAACACUAAAAAGGCUAUUAUCUUGAUAUUAAAACAAAACAAUAAUAACAAUAGUUUAUGUACUCUGUAGUAUAUGUUUUAAAGAUAAGGACAAAAAAAAAAUUUGUAAGGCUAUAAUAAUGGUAGUGAGACAAGACCAAUCUACUAAAUUAAUCUUCAAAAUUUUAAUUCAGAGUGAUUUAAUUCAUUGUUUGUUGGAUUGAAAAAAAAUUAUGGUGAGUUACUACUAGACAUAGAAUUUGAAGAGAGAAAAAAAAGAGCUUUUUGUUUGUUUAAGAAAAGAGAAGGAAUGUUUGGAAGAUAAAUUGUCAAAUUACUCUAAGAGAGUAAAGUUUGUAAUACAUUUACAUGAUAAAUAAAUGUAAGUGAUAAGUUUUAUAUCACUUAUAUGUUCUUCUAAAUUUUUUUAUUUUCAAUUUUUUUUAUGUCAUUUAAAUGUUUGCAUGGUGAUAAUUCUAUUUUAAGAAUUUUAUAAAUAUAAUUUUCGUAUUUCUUCAACCAACCAGUUAACCUUACAUAAUUUAGGCUCCUCGCCAAAGUAGAGCCAUAGGUGAUCACCUACUCUGUCUAUAGUCAAGGUCGUCAUUGAUGGGUGCUACUCAUUGCCAGUUUGGCUAUGUCGAGCGAUAACCCUAAUAAAUAUAAUUUUCUUUUUCUCAAACCAUUUAAAUUUUUAGGUAAGAUAGAUUAACACGAAUUUGAUCACAAAAAGAAUGGGAGUUCGAGUUUGGCUGCCACUUGCAAAGUUUAUUUCGUUUUUCUUGAAGAGUAUAUAAUAUAACUUGCAAAUGAAGUGGCGUUUUAAAAAUAAUAUAUUAAGUAAUUAAAGAUGUUCCUUCUCUCAAUUUCUAAAAGAGAUCAUAAAGUUAGAUUGUACAAUACAAAGGAAUCCUGUCUAAUUCACUAAUUCGUGAGAAGAUACUGAAUUUUUAUAUUUAAUCUAAUAAAGUUAAUUAUUUACGUGUUUAUUUUUCAAUUUCAGUCUAUACUCGAACUAGUUAAUUAUAAUAUUUUAAAACUUAUUUUCGUACAAGUGCUUGAUUUCUUUCUCCUAGUCCAUGAGAGAGUCAAAUGGUAGACCAAAUGAUCACAGCAAUAAUUGCUUUUGCAAUUAUAAGUUUCUUGAAAUGCCAAUUAUUUUCACUUAUUUUCAUAUUUUUUUUCUUUCUAUUUAGAAUGGAUCGGUUUCACUAUGAUAGCCCGCAUGAUAGUGAAAUUGAUGGGUCGUCGAUCGUCAUUUUGCUAAUAUUCCCACUCAUUUCGGUCAAAAAAUUUCAUAAUUUCUAGUCCAUGCAUUUUGUCUCUCAUUUGACUAUAAUGAACAAUUCUAAAAUCAAUAACUGAGUAAGAAAUAUACACAUUUUAAAUUAAAAUAUCCAAAAAUAAAUAAUAUUUUAAUUUCUUUUUGUCUUGUAAACAUGUAACUGAUUAAUAUAUUUGGAUGGCCUAAUGAAGCCAUUGAGCAAGUGCUCUAGCACAUGUAAUCCUUUAUAAGCUCGGGGGAGCACUUGAAACGCUAAGGGUCCGUUUGAUUGCAAGAAUGAAAUUUGGGUGAAAAAAAAACGAAUUUUAGAGAAUUGAAUUGCCUAGAACUUGUUUUACUGGAAAUUGUCAAUUAAAUAUGUUUGAUUUGUAUAAUUUUUCACCGAAAAAUGUUUAAAUUUUGAAUAUUUUGGUGUUCGUUUGGUUUUGUUUUUGUGAAAAUUGUUAAUUAAAAGAAUGGAAUUUGUUUUCAUUACAAAAAAAUAAAAAAAAUAAAUAAAUAAAGAAGAUGGAAUACCCAAUUCCCAUCAAAAUCAAAGGAAUUGAUUUUUCUUAAAAAGCAAGAGAAUGGUUCACUAGGAGGGUAGGGAAGAAAAGCAAUUCCAUGGAAAAUUUUGGUCAUCAAACAACACAUUUGGAUGGAAAAUGGAAAAUUUAAAUGGAGGUAUCAAACACGCCCUAAUAGUAAUGUCACUAAUGUGACGGAACUAUGGAAGGGAACUUUAUGUUAAAUUGUCAAAAGUAUGAAUUUUGAUAUGAAAUGUGUGUCUAUCAUAGGCUUGAAAGAUUUUUUUUUAUUUUUUUAUUUUUUGGACGUCAUGCUUACUUGCACACCUAACGAGUGUUACGUCCUUUUCAUUUCAAUAAAAGAAAAGUAAUACUUCCUUGGAUAGAGGGGGGAAAAAGAAUGAAAAAAGUAAAAAGAGAACUUGAAUGGAGAACUCCAUGAUCACAAAGAGUUAAAAGGUUAUAGGAUUUGAGUUAGCUUGUGGAAGAUCUCUUAUGUCUUACUUUUGUACCUUUGCUUUAAGGUCAAGCAAAGAAGAUAGAAAAUGGAGAGAUUAUCAUCAUUUUUUAUAUCGGGAUGUGUAUUUGAAAACUCAAAUCAAUCAAUCAUAACGUAGCAUAAAUAAUAACAAAUUAGAAUUAUUCUAAGCAUAUAGAAUUUAUUUGACGAAUUGAAACACCUUGUAUCAUUUCUGUAAGUGUGGCAUCUCUCUACAUAUUAAGCCCCUAUUUGAUUUUGAUAAAAAUUAAAUUUCUUAUAAAUUUUGAUAAAAAUUGAUGAAAUAUGUGAUUAAAAAGUUGUGGAUCCCAUAAAACGUAUGGUUGAAAAUGAAUUUUAGAUAGUAAGGACAAACAUGAACUAAAUUUACUAGGAGUGAGGGCCAAGAGCGGCUCCAUUAAUUUAAUUUUUAAAAGUUUCGUGAAGUUAUGUAUCUGCCAUGAAGUUGAUAAAUCAACUCUUAGCAAUCUCGACAUGUUUUGUUAUUUUGAGUGUAAUUAAUGUAUAAUAUUGUGACACAAUUCUUUAUAAAAACAAGAUUGAGAAAUGUGAAUGCAUUUCAAAAGAUGGUCACUCUUUUUCAAAAUUGACACGAUGAGAAAAGAUUAUAAUAAUAAGCCCCUCAAGUCCUCGGUAUUGUUUGUCACUUCUUUUCAUUUACACUAUGAGAAAAAGACCACGAUAAUAAAGCCCUUCGAGUCCUUGAUCGGUUAAUUUUGAGAAGAAUCGAGCUUGCUUACAAGCCACUCACACAUUAUAACCGACCUUUUGUCGCAAAAGAAACUAUAGCUGUAGUCUAAGGUCCCAAGUCUCAAAACAAUGAAAUAUCAUAAAAUGGCUGAAUGCCCGUCCGAUAAGCGUUGAAUUUGAACUUUCUAAUUUUUUUUUUUUUUUUUUAAAUCAUAAAGAAAGCACAUGAAUUAAUGUAGAAAGUUGUUUGAGUUCAAUAUUUUUUUUUUUUUCAAAAAAAUGCAUUUUGAAAUUGUGUUAUGAUGGAUAAUGUAUAAUUAAAAAAUAAGGAACAUUUUUGAAUUUAUGUAUAAUAUUAUUUUAUUAAAAAUUGUGUAAUUAAAAUAAAAUCAAAUCAUUGUUAAAAAAUAUAUUUCGAUAAAAAAAAGUCUCAAACAAGACUCUUUGGAAUUUUCUUUUUCUUCCACUCCUUUUUUUCCUCCUGCUAAACAGCUGUAAAGCUGUCAUGCCAGCAAAAGUUGUGUCUCUCUUCCCAUAUUCUCACUCUCCCAAUAAUUCUUUUGACUUUGGAGUUGAAGACAAUUCUUGUGUUGGAAAAAAAUUAUGCCCUGCUUUGUAAAAUUUAGAUUUUUAUCUAAUUUUAACCACGUAUAUUUUAUAAUAUUCACAAUUUUUCAAUCAUACAUUGCAUCAACUCUUGUUAAAAUUAUAAAAAUAAUUUGAUUUUAAUCUGCGUCAAACGAAAACUUUAUCGAAAUAUCCACAAUUAGAUUAAAGAGUCACGUGGGAAAGUACAGAGUGCUUGUACAUUAGAAGAUGAACAGAUCAAAUCUUUCGACCCAUUUUUUCUCGUAAGUUUGAAGAAAAUUGCAAUCAAUAGGAUUUCCUAAUUUCUCGAGAGGAAGAGUCUAAUUUUUUAUUAAUCAACUUAGCAAUGCCUUGACUUUGCAUAUGUAAUCUACGACACUGGUGCUGUAUAAAAUUAAUUAAAAGUUCUAAUAUUUUGCAUUAUUGCGGAGAAAAUUGAGGAUUUUUCUUUGACAUACUUGAUUUUAUUUUAUUUUCAAAGCAGUAAUACUUUAUAUUAUCACAAUUUGGGUUGCUGAAAGAGAAAUAAUUGAAUAUUUCUCUCGUACUCAUGAGGUCACAUUAUUUCUCAUUAAAUUAAAUUAAAUUUUUCUCUCUUCUAUUUUUAACCACACAAUCUUUAAUAAAAUAAUAUUACACGUGAACCAAAAACUUUUCUUUUCUUUUCAACCACUCAUUUUUCAAAAAAAUACUAUUCAAAACAUUAUAAUUUCCAAAUAAUGGGGCUCAAACGGGGGCUAAUGAUUUAUACUUGCUGAGUUAGGCCACAUGAAAAGAUUUCCAUAGAUUGACAUAAAACGCAAGCUCAUACCAUGUUAGACUUGGUCAGGUCAUCCAAUGAACCAAAACAAUUUCUUCGAGUAUCUCGACAACAAGUUUUUGAUAAUGGUCGAGAAACAUGUCACUACUAUGUUAAAAAGAAGCCAUACAAGAACUUUCUUAAAUUUAAAAAAAAAAAAUGUAAAUUAUAUUGAACAGACUGAACUCACGUUAUACUUCUAAAUUCACAUUAUCUAACGUUCAAGCAUUGCAAAUUGCAUGAGAAAAGUGGAUCACAUUACUUUCAAUGGAGUAAUUUUGACGUUCUAGUGAAAAUAUCGGAGGUACGAUGACGCGCCCCCUGAAGAAUUGAAAAAUCUUUCCAAUAUUUUCAGUAAAAUUAUAUCUUUUGUAUCAUUGAGGUCCCCAAAUCCAUACGAGUCCACCCAACAUCCAAUGGGGCUCCAGAGAACUGGGGCAAGACAAUAUCUGUUGGUAAGCCUGAAGAUGGAUCAGACAAUUACACACUGUACACGUGAGUCGAAUAAUUGUACCUAUAGCUGCAUUUUUAUUUUUAUUUUUAUUUUUAUUUUUUUAAUAUGACGACGGAACCCGCAGUCGCUAUCCUUCGAAUGCGCACUGGGUAAACUUUCGGAUUGACGCAAUAGCCUGCAAACCACGCCAGCCAGCAAAAUCGCACUAAGCAAGUUCAGUACGACAGACUGGACCGAGAAAGUAUUGGUAGGGUGAAUCGAACUCAUGACCAAAAGUCUCCGCUCUCACCUACUCCACUAACUCAACCACCUCAUGAGAGGCUACCUAUAGCUUCUUACUCAUACAGACAGUUAUUGAUGGCACAUUGUGAGACUCAUUCAGCAUCCUAAGACACAUCUCACUCCCAUUCCCACGCCAUCUUAAAGAAGAUUUUAUUUAUUAUUAUUAUUAUUAUUAUUAUUAUUUUCACUUAUGGGAUGGCUGAGUUGGUGGAGUAGAUAAGCACAGAGACCUUUGGUCACGAGUUCGAUUCCCACUACCAAGACUUUCUCGGUCAAGCCAAGCGCACCGAACUUGCUUAGUGUGGUUUACCUAGCUAAUGUGGUUUACAGGCUAUUGCGUCAGCUCGAAGGUUUACCCAGUACGCACUCGAAAGGUAGCGACUGCGAGUUUCGCCGUCAUCAAAAGAAAAAAAAAAGAAUUAUUACUUUCUUUAGACUGGCCAACUCGACUUCAUUCAUAACUAUUCACAAAACAUAUUUACAAGCCUUCCCUAGAUAACAAUGCUGCUGGAGAAGUAAAGACCACCUCUUUUAAGAUAGAAGGUUCACACAUUAAUGUCUGACAUCUCCAGCACAAGAUGAGAAACUUAACAACUGUUCUGUCCAUGGUAAGAGAGGCAUUGAAUGUAUAUGAUAAGAGAAAGGCCAGCGUUACAGGCAAUGGUGGUCCAAGUUUUUAGAUGGGGAAUUCACUGUUUCUUGUAGUUUAUGGGUUAAAAUUUAUGGCUGCUUAGUCUUUGCAGGCUCCCAUUUAGUCCAAAAAGGGUCACUUGGAAUCAAGAGAGUAUUCAGUCUGCCGAAACUGUGAAACUUGACUGCCAUAUGGACUUGUGUGUGUAAGAUUUGGGUAAUCCAUUGCACAGACUAAAGAACUGAUCCAAACCUCUUUUCUUAAGUUACUAAUUUUAAUAUGUAUAUUUUUAAGCUUAGCCAAAAAAGGGUAGUUCAUGUAAUUCUAUUUUGCCAAAAAGAGCAGUUUUUACUUUUUACAGUUCAUCCAUCUGGAUCAAACUAGUCCAAUGCAAGAAAAUAGCUGGUACGCAACAUUUUUGCUGAGUUUUGACCAAAAUUUCCUUAACCAAGGCAUGGCGUCUCAUUCUUCAAUAGGCAGGCACUCAGAACCCCAACUUUAAACCCUUAAAUCACGAUACAGGUGUGUGACUUCCAAGCAAAAAUUUAGCCUAUGAUUUUUGGAUAUAAUCUAAGUUCAUCCUGCUAGUAUGUGCUACAUACAAAGUAUGUAUCAGCUAUCAAAAUUUCUUGAAGCUCCUCUACUUUUACAUUCCUAAACUUUUGGAUUAAAUAAGUGAGAAUAAAUUCCAAAAGAAGAUUUUAAAGAACAACAUGUCUAGCAUUCUGAGAAUGGCUCGUAACCUGAUUAUCCAUCAAUCAUACCGAAAUAGAAGUUGAGUGAGAGAGAACACAAUAAUUUGAGGACGAUGCAUGGAUCAAGCUAUCCUAGAAUGCAGUUCAUCUCUUACACAAGCAUUUUGCAUUUGCAAGGAAAUUAAGUUAUCCACAGAAACUAAUUACAUAAAUAGAUGAUCAUUGACAGCCAUAAUAAGUUCUAAACUUAAGUAGAAUUCGACCUGGUCUGGGUGAUCAUCCUCCGCGCAUGUGUGCACCCAAUUCUCCAAACUGUUCAUCGGCUUCCACAGUAUCAGCCGACAAGCGAACUGCAUCCAACUUUUGCUUCAGAACGUCUAUUGCAUUGAGAAGCAAUUGAGAAGCUUUGAUAGCACCAGUUGACUCAACAGUAAAAAUAAAACUAUCUUCCUUCGCACGGAUUUCUAUAAGGCCUGGUUUGCCCAUUGAUUCAGCUUUCUUAAUCACCUCUUCGUCGUACGUAUAAGCCUCGGCAUCAUGAAUCAGAACCUGCAAGGAGAGUGUUAAAUAUGAAAAAAGAGACAUUAUUAAAAACUUAAACCUCAAACAACGUAAUAUUUUAAUAAUAUGUGCUUAAAGCAUAUGCCAAGGAGUCAUUUUAUGAUAUACAAGCUGAAUAUAGGUAAUAGAAGGACUAUGGAAUUGUAUCAAAGACCUCUUGGUCACCCUUUUCUACCUGAUUUGCAUUUUAUAUCAUAACCAUAAGGUAUCACGUAGUAAGUAAAAACUUAGUGGUAUCACGUAGUAAGUAAAAACUUAGUUCUUCCUGUUACAUUGUUUGUUGCAAAACUAGAAGAGAUAUACGGUGGUGCUGACUGUCAUUAACAAGUAAUUAUGAGAAUCUCAAGAUUGUAUGAACACUCUCUACCGCUAUAAAUUCUGAUGGCAUCGAAAAAUCGAUUCUAUUAGAUUCAAAUAUCACAAACCUAUAUUUCUAUAAGAAACUAAAACAGUUGGACUUGAACCAAGAAACCAAAGAGGUGCUGCAUGGUAACAACCAAGCAGUGUUUACAAGUCCAAGAAAACAUUCUGAUGAAUGCUUGUAACUUCUUAAAAAUUUUGCAAUGUGGGAUGUCACAAGGAAUAUUAGAAAUGAAUAUGCUGUGAAUUACAAGCAUGUUUUGGAGUUGUGUAUAAACGAUUUAAAUUAUUAACAGAAAGAAAUGAGUGAUGGAUAAGUGGAUAGUACUUGUGUGUCCCACGCAAUACGUGGAUAAAAAGUGAUUGGAUUGUUUAUGAACAAUAGCCAAACAUGGGUUAGGCAUCUCAAAAAAUCAGCUGAAUGAAAUUUCAAAAGAUCAAACAUAUGGGGGGAAAAAAUAAGAGAGAAGCUUGAGCUUCUCUUUAACCACACAUCAAUUUCAUCAUACAUAUAGUUCCAGAGUAUUGAGAUUCAUGAUCAACCUGAUUUGUAAUCUCAUCAAAUUUGAACACCGGAGUAGGACUGCUUUCAACAAACUCCCUUUUCUCAUCAGGUGUCAAGCUCUCCAUCAAUUCUUCAUUGAUAUAAAUCUCAGGUUCAUACAUGAAAGUGACGGUUGCUGCAGGUGACCAUUUAGCAUGAUCUUUACCAAUUCCUUUCCGAGCUAUGGCUCUUAGAAUCAGCUCCUGACCGCGGCGUAGCUUCACAAUUAUAAUUCCCCUAUAUAUAGAAAUUAAUCAUCUAAGUAUUCAUUUCCCUAAAAAAUUAUUGCCGCUGAAGAUCAUAAAUGCAAGAUCAACAAAAAUGAAGCAGAAACAACAAAAAGUGGCCAACGUUGUUAGUUUUGUUACUCUUUAAAUUAAACGACACAAUUUAUCAUUGAGUAGGACCAGUUCUUGAAUAGCACUUCAAAAAUCAUAGCAGUAAAUCACAAUAAAAGAAAAUUUGACAACAGUUAACCCUGAUAAUGCACUGAUAAAAGCAUUAGAAAUAUGUUUCUGUACUCUAGGCAUAUUUUUAUACGACCUACAUAACUUAAUUGAGAUAAUAUAUUACCACAAAGAAUAUACCAACAGAAAGUUCAUGGCUAUAACAUUGUUACCACGAACAAUGUUCUGGACUCGAGGCAUCGAGGUUGAACCUUCAAAUUCCCCUUCUAAAUCUCUCCAAUCUCCUGUCUUUUGAUGCAAGGGGAAUCCAAAUAAUGUAUAAUUUCAGAUUCAUAAUUCAUUACUAAAUCUUUAAUGGUAUACUUUUCAAAAACUCCAUAUUUUGACAGUGGAGAUGGCGCCUUAUUCAGGUUUCAUUAACGGCCUUAAUCUAACUUAGAGAUGAAAAAAAUGUCAAGCACACCCUUAUUUAAAAAGGUUUACUUCAACAAAGUUGUUUUUUAAUAUAGGUUUCCUCUUUAGAUUUUCAUGAUUACUCCACUCAUUUUUUGAAUUUUCACAAAGCAUGUCUUGCCAACAGUUUGUCUUGCCAAUACAGAUGAGGAAAGAAAUAAAGAAUCAUAGGAAUGCCCAAAUUGUUGAUCAUUAAAAGAAUUUGGACGUGCAUCAUCCCUAUUGCGACCAGACAUAGAUCUUCACAUUUACAGUUGAAUUUUUCUUGAUAGAGGAUAACUUGAUCCCAUACAGUUAACUCAACAGACAAGAUAGUACAUAUUGAAUUAUCUUGACAGAGUAAAGUUUAGGGACAACUCCCUACCUUAUUAACUCAGUAACGUUAACUUAACCAGAGCCAUUGUAAGGGCUAAGAAUGAAAAAUCAAAUCAACGAGGUUAUAAUUUGUUUCUGAAAGCCUUUUUUAUUCAUUUUUCUAUCAAUCUUGGUCCAUUCUCGACACAAUUCCAAAUCCUUCAACCCUAUAUUACUUGCAAUAUCCCAUUUUAAAUUACACAAAUUAACAUGUCACUGACAGAGAUACGCAACUAAAUGUAUAUACGAAUCCAUUCACAAAAGCUUCCAGGAUCAAGACUUCCCCACACACUAUAGAUCUUUAGUAAAAGCAUUCACAUUUUUGUAAGGCUCCAAAAACCAUAACUAAAUCACAUAAUUUCCGCGAAGGAAUAAAAUUCGCAUGACACUUGAUGAUGACAGUGAAUUGGAAAAAGCAUUAUGCAAAUUUCUAAGAUGGCAAACAAAUUACAAUAAUUAGCUUUCUGCUUCUGGGCAACAAGUGCCAUACAAACUAUAUUCUUUACCAAUGGCAAUACAUAUUGUUUAGAUGCCUUCAAGCUACUAGUGGAGCAUGUAUUCCACCAAAAUCUUAGGGGGUUUAUUUUUUUUAUUUUUUAUUUUUUGUAUUAAUAUUUUGGUUGGGUUGUGGGGUUGGAGACAAGGAAAAAAAAUAUUAUUUCCAAUUGGGAUGGGUACAUGAAUACUUUCUCACCAUUACUCCAGUUCAUCACUAAAUCCCUUGGAAUUUCAAUGGAACAAAAUCAUUUGCAACUACAACAAGCCAUGUUAAGCCUAUAUUCUGUCCUAUGGACAUAACAGGACUUUCAUCUUCACACUUUUCCUCUUUUAUCAACAUCUUUGUAAUCUUCCAUUUGAAAAUAAGUUAACCUAUACACUCUUUCAAUUUUAUUGUAACCUUUAAUUUGCAUAUCUUCCCUGCAAACCCCUUUUCUUCAAAAAAUCACACCUCAACUUCACUGUGUUUGACAUUCCCAAAAAGAAAUUGGAAAUUCUGCGCAACCCCUACAAGAGUACAAGACUCAAUACUUACCCUAUGAUUUUACAGCCAUCUAUAUCACCAGCACAAAAAGGAUAACUGCUUACGGAAUAAACAGAAAAACCUUAUCUUCAAACCAAUAAUUACUUUCAUUUACCACCAUACCCAAGUAGAAUAACAUAAAAUUUGAGAAUCCAACGUACAUAUACCACACAAGAGCAGAGAGAUGGAGAGAAAUGUAUACUUAUUCUCCAAGUUCUCAAAGCCAGAAGAAGAAUCCGUAAAAUCAACAGGUACAACCGUGUGGUCAGAGCUAUACAAAUCCUUAGAAGUGACAUCGAGGGUCUGGUCAUUAAUACACUUUGCUCUCAGAUGAAACUCCACAGAGCAGUACUCGCAUUGACCAUCUCCAUCACAGGCAUCACAGUCUCGGGAAAACCUCAUCCCCAUGGCACGUUCGCUGGUAAGCGGAAUGAGCCCUAGGCGGUGGGCGAUGAAUUCGUCGUUAAGAACGGACGAAUUCACCUCGAUUUCGACCAAAUCGAUGGCGAUUGUCGGCACCUCCGCAAUCAUCACUCGCCGGAGCGCGUUGGCGAUACUCGCGUCCGUCUCCCGCAGCUCGAAUUUCAUGUAAUCGUCCCUCACCUCCCGGAUUUUGAUCUUCGGGAAUCUCUGGUACGAUGCGCCUUCCAUUGUCAGCUCUGCUCUCUCUCUCAACGGAGAGGGAAUCACUCAGGCACUGAGCGAGGGUUUUAGGUAAACCCUCCGCAAGAUUUUGAAAUAAUUUAUACGAAGAUUUUCAUUACCGGUCCCCAAUAUAUGAAAAUCAUCACAACUUGGUCCUCCACCUAUCUACUUGGCAGUAUCGUUCCCAGCCUAUUUGCUUGUGAAAACAUUUAGUCCUUGAUGCUAUUUUGUCCAUGUUUGAUUCAGCUCAAAAGUUGGAUUAAAAUCUAAAUCAAAAUCAAUAACAAAUUAUAACCACACAUUUCAUGGACUUUACUUUAACCAUAUGUUUCAUCAACUUUUAUCAAAAAAUAUAAAAAAUUUAAUUUUUAUCUAAAUCUAACAAGAGCUUUACGUCAUUUCGACCUUUUAAGUGUACAAGUGACUUGUACUUUCUGAAAUUUUAAAGGGUAGAAUAGUCGGGUCGUUUGCUCAAUUAUAAGCCCCUAUUUGUUUAGAUUAAAGUUUUGAUAAAAUAAUAAUAAUAAUAAUAAUAAUAAGUUAAAGUUAAUGAUUGAUUUUAAUUGUAUAUUUAUGAGAUCCGCAUAUUUUAUCAACCUUUCGAUCACAUAUUUUAUCAAAAUUUAUAGAGGAUCGAUUUAACGUGAGAGAAGUUAAAAAGAGUUUUUGAAACUCAAAAUAUGCUUUUUAAACUUAUUUGACUAAACAUGGGCUUAAGUUUUAGAGUGAAAGAAGAGAUCGAAGUUUGGAAAGAAGUAGAAGUAUAGUAGAUAGAGUACAAACGGCUGCCACACAAACACUUCAAAUAAUUAAUUAUUUAUUUAAUACUCAUCCGACUAAAAGGAAAAAGGUUUUAUCUUGUCACAUUAGAUCAUUUCAAAAAGACUCUCUAUUUAUGAAGAACAUUUUAUACAUGAUAAAGAGCAUUUUUAAAUUCAAAGUAAUAUUUUUUACACACUCCAACAAGCUCUCUACUUUAAUUCUUUAUUUUGUUUAUUCAAAUAAAUAUUUAAUAAUUUCUCCACAUAUUUUAUUUGAAUAUAAUUUUUUACAUAUUAAUGACCAAUCAAUUUAAAUGUAAUUUGAAAAUUUUAAAUUGUAGAGCGUUGAAAUUUGCAAUGUAUUAAGCCCUCGUUUGAUUUUAAUUUUUUGGUCACAAAAAUGAAAAAUAUGACAUUUAUCCAUCACAUCAAACCAUCAUAUUUGACUUUUUAUCUCUUGUGUGAGUUUCUUAACGACUAUAUUUUUCAUUCUCAUUCUUAUAAAAAUGGAUACCAAACAGAGCCUAAAUACAAUCAUUGUACAUUAAGAAUAAAAAGUGAAUUUAGCUCUCUAAAUUUGGAGAGUCAAACACACUUUACUUUAAAAAGUUAAAAUAGAGUCUUUUGGAGCUCAUUUUUAAGUAUUGACUCUUUAAAAUAGAGAGUAUUUUGUAUUUAAAGAGUCUCUUGAAAAUAGUCGUAAACAUACUUGUCUAUCUUGUUAUACUAACAUUAUUUUAUACAACUGUUUUGAUUCUGAACUAAAAAUUAUACAGAAGGAACAAGAAUAAUGAAUCAGCAAUACAUAUAAUUUUUUUCCAAAAUAAUCACUUUUGUUGGAAGUAGAUCAACUACAAGAAAAGAUAACAAUAUAAUAGACAACAUUUUUUAAAAGUACAAGUUUUACAGGCACCAAACAGAGAGAAAUAAAUCUAAUCAAUUUUUGGAUGCAGAUUGGAAGAUGAAGACUGCUGUCAAAACUCCCACCAGAGCUGUAACAGCCAAGGCCACAGCAGGCAUGGGGGACGUGAGCCCGAAAUUCUGCGAGAUUAGGGGGGAAAAAAUGCUCAAUGAAAAGCUAAUGGUUAAAAAAUGUACCAACACAGAACAGGCAACGAAAAGAAAGGAAGAAACAGAGACGAAUUUAACCGCUAUAACUACCGCUAGACUUCAAUGAUUCAACUUUCACUUCUGGAAACACGAUCAUCGGUACAGAUGAGAUGUUAUUUGAAUUUAGCAGGUGUUUAGAUGGAAUAGUUAACACAGUUUGAAGGAAAAUUCCGUUAAAGACUAAAUUUAACAAAAUAUAUGUUUCAUCCUAACAACUUUUAGCUGAGUUGAUUCAACAUUUUCUCUCUUGUAAACAUCCGAGCUGUGUGUGGGUAUGCAUGUGUGUCCCUUCCCAAACAGAGCUUAAGCAUUUUGAUGAGACCAUUCCACUGAAAAAUCCAGAAGAUUCAACAUGCCAUCUGGCUUGCAUGACAGGAUUAGUUAUUGAAGCGGUAUCGGGAACCCAUAUAUAUCUACAAUAGAUUGGAUAAAAUUAUUUGGUCACACAAAAUAUCUCAAACAAGAGAAAAAGCUUCUUUGAAAGAAUCUCCGGAAUAAGGUUAUUUAGAGUUCGAGAGGGAGAAAAGGCUCCCAUCUUCUUUUCCUCCACCUCCUUUGGACAAUUCUGAAUGCCCUUAUCUGCACUGCCUAUGUUAUACAUUAGAAACUCAAUUGGCACUCUCCAUUCUCACUUUUACGUGUAAGAAUCCUGAAGUAAAAUGGAAACAAGAGCAAGAUCAUGACUCCCAAAUAAAAAGUGGAAGACAAAGCAACUGGGGCUUCACAAGUAUCUAGCAAAACACGUGCUUCAUGUCAACCAAAUCUGAAUUACACGCAGCAAAAGGCACAUAUCUAAUAAACUGAGUAAAUAGCUGAGUAAAUAUAAACGAUGCUAUAUUUAGUCUCAGUUUGAGUUUGUGUAUUUAUGAUUACUGGGAAAAAUGUGAAUCAGCAUAAUUGAAAGAAGUAACUUAACAUACAAACUAGAUACAAUAAAAACAUUAGUAGGUAGGCAUACCUCUAGAAGUCCUUUGCCUGUUGCUAUUUCAAUACUAAUUGCAGUUGCAAAGCCAACCAUUGCCAGUCGUCCAAGCCAUACAUCCAAACCGUUGCUGUCCUUAGUGCGCUGCUCGCAUCUUAUGGAAACUGAUGUUGCUUUAGUUGCAGGGUUUCUUUGUAGAGGCCUCUGAAUCACUGGAAAUGAGAAGGAGAAUUAGCUACUACCCUAUUAAGUUCUCACUCAAAAAAGCCAACCUUAAAACCAUAAAUGAAAGUCUAGCAAAUACAGACCUUAGAAUGUACAAGUAUAGCGUAAACUUAAGAAACCAAAAGCACG
rnacentral:lncRNA from 1 species